GAUCUCAGAAAUCGAAGAGGCGUUUGCUUUCUCAAAAGCUGGGCUGCUCAGAGACCACGAGGGUCGAUCUCAGAAAUCGAAGAAGCACCUGCUUUUUCAGCCUCGUCAGCACCUGUCACAUGCACAAUCAGCUUUGCGGAAAUUACGGGCAAUCUGUCGAAGAUUUCUGGUGAAGUAAAAAGCACGUGAAUCUUACUGUUCAAUCACCGCUCUCCAUAUGCACCAUCAACUCCUCGGGUACCACAUAUAACUUUGUCAAAGAUCUCUGACAAAGUUUAGGCACGAGAAUUUCGAAGUUCCAGCUACCCUACUAUUACCCAUAAGGGUAAAGGAACAGCACCACUGCUUGACAACUGGAAAGUCCCUAUGUGUGUCGACCUCCGUGUUUUGCGGCAAGGCAGGUUGGCAAGAACGUCCAACCUUUACUCACAUUCGAGAAAAGACUCCCAACAUAAUUACUUUCUCAAAAACCGGAGUAGCACCGCUUUCCGAAUCUCGAGAGUCAGAUCCUCGACGGGAUUGCUUGUUCGAAAACCGAAGAGGCACAACUCUCAGAACUUCGAGAGCCAGAUUUCCUUAGAUAAAGCUUGUCUGUAAUCUUCACACGUAAUAUCAGCUUUCCAGAUACCACAUACCACUUUUUCAAAGUGCUCUGACAAAAUUAAAACACGUGAAGCUGGCAACUCCCACUACAUUGCUGUGACCAAGAAGGGUAAAGGAAUAGCAUUACUACUUGUUAUUGGGAAAUCCCUAUAUACAUUGACCUCCCUCCUCAACGGACAGGCAAACCUGCAAAAAUGCUCAACCCUUUCUCGCAUUCGAAAAGGCACCCUCAACAUAAACUCUCGAAAUACUCAGCUUUAUUUCCCCCCGAUAAUACCUUAGCAAAUAAGCCACACCAAGAACAAGAGUAUCUCAUAUCAUCAGGGUCGAAAGCAAGAGUAUCCCAUAUCAUGCUUUCUCCCUAUCUUUGUCUUUGUCCUUGUCCACACCUGCAGGACAAGGAGAAAGAGAGCAGUCAGUCGGAACCUGAAAUCAAACCUCCAAUUUGGAACUGACUGCCUGGAGCCUUUGCCUGGUUGCUUACUUAGCAUUGCUCUCGAGUACUCAUCCUCAACUGCUGUCAAGGUCACGAAUUCCACCGGCAAAUACCUCAUGACAGUUGAUCAGAUAUUGGCUCUUUACACUGAAGCUGCCAAGCGUGGAUGAGUCACUAUGAAGGAAUGUUCUGAAGGACCAUUUAAAUGCAAAGGUUGCACACCACUUCUGCCAUGCAAAAGAUUGAAGCAGAAGGUUCAACGGUGAGCUGAAACAGAUCACUACAGCACGACACCUUUCCAUACCACAUUCAUUAUUCCGUCAACAGAAAAAGUAUCCCAUAUCAUCAAGGUCGAACGUACUCUAGAUUUGAUGGACUUGUUUUGACCCUCAAAUUUUUGAGUCGGCCUUAUACUCUGAAGGGCACCAGAAAACCCUCCAGCACAGUUCAAGAAUAAGCCUGUGGAAAGUUACUUCUUCAAAAGCAAAAGUAUCUCAUAUCAUCUCUUAUCCAUUUGCUUCUCCUUAUCCUGGCAGUUGAAUGAGAGACAAGGAGAAGGAGAACAAUCAACCGGAAGCCGAAGUCAAACCUCUGAUCCUGGGUUGCUUACUUGGAAGUUUGACUGCUUACCUUGUCUGUCACCUCUUUCGGCAGAUCUCCUAGCUCGGCGACUUGGGGGACUCCUACUAUAGGGUUUGUAUCACACUUGACUAAGCCCGAAACUACAACUAAGCUUCAAGUGAAAUUGAUACAUUACCUUGUGCGUCAACAUCAGCUAAAUACACCAUUCCCGGAUGGAGGAAAGGUACUUCCAGAGAAGGGCAGAUGAAGAUCAGACCACACUUCGGUACUUAGAAGUUUCGUGAUUACUCAAGGGAUUGGAUCUUGCAAGUCCCCAACCGAGGAGUUUUCCUCACUCGGGAACUUAGGGGAGCACUGUUUGUACCAUACUUGACCAAUCCCGAAACUACCGAGCACCGGCCAACGCUAUAUACUGUCAAGGACCCAGAAGAGUUCCCCUCCGACCAGGAGGCCAAUCACUACUCGACACAUGUCAAGAUUAGAAGCCAAUCAGAGCGCAGCACGUGUCGACAUCAAGAACCAAUCAUAACAUGACACAUGUCAAUGUGACAAAGCUACAAGUUUUUCUAUAAAUAGGGGUCAUUCCCCCACAAUAUUGCCUAAUGCCAUUUGUGUUAAAUCAUUCACAAGAACUCACUAAAUUGAGAGCUUGAUCCCUUGUACUUGUGUAAGCCCUUCACUACUAAUAAGAACUCCUCUACUCCGUGGACGUAGCCAAUCUGGGUGAACCACGUACAUCCUGUGUUUGCUUCUCUGUCUCUAUUCAUUUACGUACUUAUCCUCACUAGUGACCGAAGCAACCAAGCGAAGGUCACAAAACCUGACACUUUCUGUUGUACCAAAGUCUUCGCUGAUUUUGUGCAUCAACAUAAUUCAUUAUUCAUAGUCAUGCCUACCAAAAAUCAUUUAAAUCCAAAUUAUAUGAUCUUUGAAUUAAAUGAUCAUCAUUUUAGUAUUUCUUUGCAAAAUUGUAUUUUCUUAUUUAUGCUAUAUACAGUGGAAAAUUAUGUAGGAAAAAGAAACAAUGAAAAGGAGGAGCCGGGUUUGAAGUAAUGAUAAAAUGCAGAGAAGAAAUGCGUAUGGAAUGACAAAAUGAAAGAUCAAAUAUUAAAAGAUAAUUUUAAGUUGUUUUUACUUUCAAGAUUUUGUUUUUAUGUAAUCUUCAUUUAAUUUCUCCCUCCAAUCACCUCUCUUCAUCCUUUUCAAUUCCUCAUUUCUUUCGUACUUUUUCAUUUAUCUCUAGCAUAAAAAAUCAAAACUAUAGCUUAAAAACAAAAUGGUUAUCAAAUAAAUCAUAAGUUGUCACGUUGCGUAUCUCUUAUUUCUCCAUUUCUAUCAUAACGUGAAAGUUUUUCUGUUUAUCUCUCUCAUCAUGUGACUACCAAAAGAAAGAGUGACAUAGCCAAAGAUCAUAAAAGGUUUCUUGUGUAGAGUAUUUUCUGUCAAAAAUCCAAGUCAAUCUGAAAAAUCAAAAUUUCUUACUACUUGUAGUAGUAUACGUGUGCAUGCAAGCGCAGCUGCAGCCUGCAGGCAACUACUAGUGGAGUUGGCAAAAGCAUUUUAUUUUAGUAUCAAUUCGACAAGGAAGAAAGGAAAAGCACAAGCCAAAAGCAGUGCUUAAUACGCACGAAUCUUUAUCCAUUUUAAUUUGGACAUUCUUAGCACAUAUUUUGGUUCAUGUGCUAUACUGCUAUGUUACAUGUAUAAUGAAGGACCUGGUGGUUGUCAAAUGAUCUAAUAAUUUAGAAUUAGGGUUUAAAACUUUCAAUCAUUAAAUUGCACACGGAAAAUACAAACGCGGAACUAUGAGAGGGACAACAUAUAUAUUUAGCUAUUUAAUGAAGCUUAAAGUAAAAUAUUCUUGCACUUAGCUCCUAAGCUCUAGAAAAGGAUUUUCGCCGGAUCCUUUUUAUGGGGAUCUCGAGGAUUCCGUGAUCGUGAUCAUUCAUCGUAUAUCGUACAGUCAGUUUUUGUUAAAUACUUUUAAUACGAUAUAUACGAUGAACGGUCACGAUCACGGGAUUCUCGGGAUCCCCAAAAAAAGGAUCCAGCGAUGAUCCUUUUUCCUAAGCUCCAUGAUUGGAUUUUGGCCAGAAUGAAAUAAGAAGUUUUUUUUAAGGAAAACUAAUGAAAAUGGCUUGAAAACUUUAAGUUUUAAUGAUAAGGACAAAAUAAAGGGUAAAGUGAAUAGUACCAGAAAUGACUUUUUAAUGUAAAAAUUUGAUUUUUCGUUAAAGUGAAUAGUACCGAGAGCAUGAAAAAUUUUAAUGUAAAAAUUUUAUUAUCUCUAUUAAAAAAUUUUAAUGUAAAAACAAAAAUACAAAAUAAGGGAGAAUAAAAGGGAAAAUGAAAUAUGUACAAAUGGAACUGCAUUAUUACAAACUUUCUAACAAACAAUAGAAUCAAGGGACACUAAACAUACAAUUUAAGUCGUAUGUAAAUCACGUGUAGUGCUACUUUUUUGCCUGGUUAUUGUUCAUGUGGGUUUAAACUAUUAAAAGUGUUUCUUUAUUCGAAGAUUAAAAGUUUAUAACUUGUUUAGUUGUGCAUAUUUUCCUACAGAAAAAAAAAUGUGGAGUUAACAAAGCAAAUUUGUAUUUUGACAGAGUUAUUGGAGCAAUAGUCAUUGUGAUUGUCCUUUAUAUGGUUCUAUGGGGGAAAAGCAAGGAUCAACUUCCAUCUGAGUCAGAAAAAAAUGAUAACAUGGAAUUGGCUACGACUAUUUAACAAAUACUACAUUCAUGGAAAGGACACUGACUUCAGAUAUCUGUGGCCAUUGAUGUUACUAAUAAGAAGCUGAUAUAUUUAUCUUAAGGAGGAAGAGCAAAAUACUCUAUAAUAACUACUUGGAAUUUGAAUUCUCAAUCUGUAACAAAUUUCAUGCAAGGCCAAAAGUUAAUUUAGUAUAAUGUUACAUCCCAUAUAUAUAUAUAUAUAUAUAUGUGUGUGUGUGUGUGUAUGUAUGUGUAUGUAUUGACACACCCCGACCCGGAAUGUCCAUUAGGACUCUGAAACGAGCUUUGCUGGCCGACACCUAGAAGGUGACGAAGCCAUAAAGGAUACUGAUGUAGAAAAUGUGAAUAAAUUUGAACCUAAAAGUGCCUAAAGACAAGAGUGCGUUGUGAGCGGGAAUGAACUCAUUUCACACGCGAUGUCAGAGCAUAAGUAAAAUACAAUAGUGUGGGUAAGGUUCUUACCCUCAGAGGUAGCCACCUAUAUUAAGAUUCGCCAAGAAUCCUCGUCGAUACGAACUUUCAGCAACUAACCUGGAGGAGCGAAAAACAGAAAACGUGAGUAGGCAAAAACAAAACAAAGCUUUUUAAAAACAUUUCUCUUUAAAAAAAUAAUAACCCCUCACCGUAAAACUCCGUAUAAUUUUUCAGAAAAUAAUAAUACGUACGUAUAUAGAAAUCAGGCUCGAAAGCAAUGAAAACCAAAGUAUGUGCCAUGUCAAGUAUCUCAACGAUAAAUAUGUAAGCCAGGUGAUGUAAAUCAAUAUAAAAUGAUAUAUCAACUGGAGUCACCUAAAGUGACCUAUACGGCUGAAUCUAUAGCUCAUAACCAAUUCCUACACACGAGUUGGAACCACCUAAUGUGGCAUGUACGACAGGCUGGGUGUAAAUAAAUACGCUUAAGUGCUACGAUCACGUGAAGGCUGUGUGAAGCAUCGCAAGUCACCUACGAGUCGGAAUCACCUAAUGUGGUCUGUACGACAGGCUGGCACCUGCCUUGGAUCCAAGGUGAGCGUACAGUGCGGGAGGUGAACGAUCAUGUGAAGGCUAAGCCCUGGCCUUGGGCGGAGCAUUAACAUCGGGAUGCAGGAUAAUGAGCUCUAAAUGCAUCUACGCAUAACCAUACACAAUGCAACCACUAUCAUCAUAAUGUACUCACCUGAAACUUACAUGGGCCUCUGCAGCAUCAUUCCAUAUUAUGCAAAACUAUACUAAUGCAAAUACUAAGAUAUAAUGCAUCCUUGACAUGACAUUUAAUUCAUAAAUUCAUUUAAAAACAGUUUCUGGAAAUCGUAAAGCAUAUAUACGUAUAUGUAAAAAAUAAAAGCCCACUCACCUAGAGUCCAAGCUAUAACUCCCUAACAUGAAUAUCGAGACGUCCCGAACGAUCGGCACCUAGAACAAAUAUCAAAUCACAUCUCAUAAUUCUUAUUGCUAGAUCAUGUACAACAACAACAACAACAACAACAAAGCCUUUUCCCACUAAGUGGGGUCGGCUAUAUGAAUCUUAGAACGUCAUUGCGCUCGGUUUUGUGUCAUGUCCUCCGUUAGAUCCAAGUACUCUAAGUCUUUUCUUAGGGUCUCUUCCAAAGUUUUCCUAGGUCUUCCUCUACUCAUUCGACCCUGAAUCUCAGUCCCGUAGUCACAUCUUCGAACCGGAGCGUCAGUAGGCCUUCUUUGCACAUGUCCAAACCACCGGAACCGAUUUUCUCUCAUCUUUCCUUCAAUUUCGGCUACUCCUACUUUACCCCGGAUAUCCUCAUUCCCAAUCUUAUCCUUUCUCGUGUGCCCACACAUCCCACGAAGCAUCCUCAUCUCCGCUACACCCAUUUUGUGUACGUGUUGAUGUUUCACCGCCCAACAUUCUGUGCCAUACAACAUCGCUGGCCUUAUUGCCGUCCUAUAAAAUUUUCCCUUGAGCUUCAGUGGCCUAUGACGGUCACACAACACGCCGGAUGCACUCUUACACUUCAUCCAUCCUGCUUGUAUUCUAUGGUUGAGAUCUCCAUCUAAUUCUCCGUUCUCUUGCAAGAUAGAUCCUAGGUAGCGAAAACAGUCGCUUUUUGUGAUCUUCGCUAGAUUGCUCCGGUCAUUAGUGUGGAUAAGUAUAUAAAUGGAUAGAGAUAGGAAAGCAAGCACAAGAUGUACGUGGUUCAUCCAGAUUGGCUACGUCCACGGAAUAGAGGAGUUCUCAUUAAUUGUGAAGGGUUUACACAAGUACAUAGGUUCAAUCUCUCCUUUAGUGAGUACAAGUGAAUGAUUUAGUACAAAUGACAUUAAAAAAUAUUGUGGGAGAAUGAUCUCGUAAUCACGAAACUUCUAAGUACCGGAGUGUGGUAUCGUCUUGACUUGCCUUAUCUGUCUCAUAGGUAAAUGUGGCAUAUUUUCUGGAAUUACUCUUCCUCCAUCCAGGGGUGAUAUCUUUAACUGAUGGAGAUGCACAAGGUAAUGUAUCAAUUUCACUUGAAGCUUACUUGUAGUUUCAGGCUUGGUCAAACGCGAUACAAACCAUGUAGUAGGAGUCCCCCAAGUCGCUGAGCUAAGGGAUCUGCUGAAAGAGGUGACAGACAAGGUAAGCAAUCAGAGCUCCGGCUGAUUGUUCACAUUCUCCCUAUCUUGCAAGCAGCAUGAAGGAUAAAGAGAAGAAAAUUGAGAAUAGAUGAUAUAGGAUACUUUUGCUUUUGAAGAAGUAACUUUCUACAGGCUUAUUCUUGAACUGGCCUGGAGGGUUUUCUGGUUUCCUCCAAAGUAUAAGGCCGACUGAAGAAUUUGAGGGUCAAAACAAGUCCAUCAAAUCUAGAGUACGUUCGACCCUGCUGAUAUGGGAUACUUUUGCUUUUGACAGAGUAGUGGAUGUAUCGGCAUGUGUGCUAUUACGCUUGUCUCCACAUGCUUCCUUGUAUCCUUCUCACUUGCCCUAUCUGUUCUUCAGGAAGAUGCGGUAUCUUCCCUGGAAGCAUAAGAUGUUGCAGAUGAGUACUCGAGAGCAAUGACAGGUAAGUAAUCAGGUAAGGGGUUCCAAGCAGUCAGUUCCUGGCUGAAAGCUUGAUUCCAAGUGCUGACUGAUUGCUCUCUUUCUCCUUGCCUUGCAGGUAAGAACAAGGCCAAAGGAAAAGACAGGGAAAAAGCAUGAUAUGGGAUACUCUUGUUUUUAACCCUGAUGAUAUGAGAUAUUCUUGCUCUAGUAUAGCUUGUUUGCAGAGGUAUUAUCGGGGGGAAAGAAAGCUGAAUAUUUCAAAAGGCUUCGUUGAGAGUGCCCUCUCAGAUAUGAGGAAGGGUUGAGCAUUUUUGCAGGUCUGCCUGUCCGUUGGGGAUGGAGGUCGACAUAUAUAGGAGUCUCCCUAACAACAAGUAGUAAUGUUAUUCCUUUACCCUGCUUGGUCAUAGCACGGUAGUGGGAGCUGCCAGCUUCACAUGUUUUAACUCUGUCAGAGCACUUUGAAAAAGUGGUCUGUGAUAUCUAGAAAACUGAUGUUGCGUGUGAAGAUUACAGACAAGCUUUAUCCAAGGAGAUCCGGCUCUUGAAGUUGGGAAAGUGGUGCCUCUUUGGUUUUCGAACAAGCAAUCCUGUCGGGGAUCUGGCUCUCGAGAUUCGGAGAACGAUGCCUUUUCGAUUUUUGAGAAAGCAAUCCUGCUGGGGGGCUGGCUCUCGAGAUUCGGAAAGCGGUGUCUCUUCGAUUUUUGAGAAAGUAAUCAUGUUGGGAGUCUGGCUUUCGAGAUUCGGAGGGCGGUGCCUCUUCGAUUUUGGAGCAAGCAAUCUUGUUGGGAGUGUUUUCUCGAAUGUGAGUAAAGGUUGGGCAUGUUUACUAGUCUACCUUACCACGAAGCACAGAGGUUGACACAUAGGGACUUUCCAAUUAUCCAACAGUGGUACUGUUCCUUUACCCUCUCUUCGAUUUUUGAGAAAGUAAUCAUGUUGGGAGUUUGGCUCUCGAGAUUUUGAGGGCGGUGCCUCUUCGAUUUUGGAGCAAGCAAUCUUGUUGGGAGUGUUUUCUCGAAUGUGAGUAAAGGUUGGGCAUGUUUACUAGUCUAUCUUGCCACGAAGCACAGAGGUUGACACACAGGGACUUUCCAAUUAUCCAGCAGUGGUACUGUUCCUUUACCCUCUCUUCAAUUUUUGAGAAAGUAAUCAUGUUGGGAGUCUGGCUCUCGAGAUUCGGAGGGCGGUGCCUCUUCGAUUUUGGAGCAAGCAAUCUUGUUGGGAGUGUUUUCUCGAAUGUGAGUAAAGGUUGGGCAUGUUUGCUAGUCUACCUUGCCACGAAGCACAGAGGUUGACACACAGGGACUUUCCAAUUAUCCAGCAGUGGUACUGUUCCUUUACCCUUGUGGGUAAUAAUAUGGUAGCUAGACCUUUAAAAUUUAUGUGUCUAAACUUUGUUAGUGCUGUUUCUUUGCUAUUCUUUUACCCUUCUUGGUCAGAGCGAUGUAGUGGGAGCUGCAAGCUUCAUGUGUCUCAACUUUGUCAGAGAACUUUGGCAAAGUUAUUUGUGGUACCCAUGAGCUACUGUUGCGUGUGGGAAGUGGGUGAUUGAACAGUAAGAUUCAUGUGCUUUCUACUUCACCAGAAAUCUUCGACAGAAUGCCCAUAAUUUCCGCAAAGCUGAGUGUGCGUGUGACAGGUGCUGACAAGGCUGGAAAAGUAGGUGCCUCUUCGAUUUCUGAGAUCGGCCCUCGUGGUCUCUGAGCAGCCCAUCUUUUGAGAAAGCAAGCGCCUCUUCGAUUUCUGAGAUCGGCCUUCGUGGUCUUUGAGCAGCCUAGCUUUUGAGAAAGCAAACGCCUCUUUAAUUUCUGAGAUCGACCCUCAUGGUCUCUGAGCAGCCCAGCUUUUGAGAAAGCAAACACCUCUUCGAUUUCUGAGCAGCGGCUCUUCGAUUUCUGAAGCUCCGUCGAGUGCAGAUUUUUAUAGGGGCUAGCAUUAAGUUCCAAAGCACACUUGAAUCUCCACCAGUAGAAGCUCCAUUCUUGCACUUCUAAAAUCUUGAUUUGUCCGACCUCUUCUCUCUUCAACACCUUUGAAAAUGUCUGGCCCCUCCGACCGUCGUUUUGACUUGAACCUUGUUGAAGAGGCAGCCUCGUCUUCUCCAGACAACAUAUGGCGCCCAUCUUUCGUCUCCCCUACUGGUCCUCUUACCGUUGGGGAUUCCGUGAUGAAGAAUGAUAUGACCGUUGCGGUGGUGGCCAGGAACCUUCUCACUCCCAAAGAUAACAGACUACUUUCCAAACGGUCUGAUGAGUUGGCUGUUAAGGAUUCUCUGGCUCUCAGUGUUCAGUGUACAGGUUCUGUGUCUAAUAUGGCCCAACGCCUAUUUGCUCGAACCCGCCAAGUUGAAUCAUUGGCGGCUGAAGUGAUGAGUCUCAAACAGGAGAUUAGAGGGCUCAAGCAUGAGAAUAAACAGUUGCACCGGCUCGCACAUGACUAUGCUACAAACAUGAAGAGGAAGCUUGACCAGAUGAAGGAAUCUGAUGGUCAGGUUUUACUCGAUCAUUAGAGAUUUGUGGGUUUGUUCCAAAGGCAUUUAUUGCCUUCAUCUUCUGGGGCUGUACCGCGUAAUGAAGCUCCAAAUGAUCAACCUCUGAUGCCUCCUCCUUCUAAGGUUCUGUCCAGUACCGAGGCUCCGAAUGAUCCCCCUCCGGUGCCUUCUCUUUCUGGGGUUCUACCGACGGCUAAGACUUCUCCUAACCAACCUUUGUGAAGGCUCCCUCAUGUUUGUUUAUUUUGACUCAUGUAUAUGUACAUAUUUGUAACUUAUCGGGGAUAUCAAUAAAUAAGUUUUCCUUCAUUUCAACGUAUUGUGUUAAAUACACCAAAGCCUUCUUCGCUAAGUUCUUUGAAUUUUCUUUUGUUGAAGCUUGUAUGUUGAAGCUUUGUGAGUAGAGCAUGUAGGUUGAGGUAGCGUUCCCUUAAUUUCCCAAGUGAGGAAAACUUCUCGGUUGGAGACUUGGAAAAUCCAAGUCACUGAGUGGGAUCGGCUAUAUGAAUCUUAGAACGCCAUUGUGCUCGGUCCUGUGUCAUGUCCUCCGUUAGAUCCAAGUACUCUAAGUCUUUUCUUAAAGUCUCUUCCAAAGUUUUCCUAGGUCUUCCUCUACCCCUUCGGCCCUGAACCUCAGUCCCAUAGUCGCAUCUUCUAAUCGGAGCGUCAGUAGGUCUUCUUUGCACAUGUCCAAACCACCGUAACCGAUUUUCUCUCAUCUUUCCUUCAAUUUCGGCUACUCCUACUUUACCCCGGAUAUCCUCAUUCCUAAUCUUAUCCUUUCUCGUGUGCCCACACAUCCAACGAAGCAUCCUCAUCUCCGCUACACCCAUUUUGUGUACGUGUUGAUGCUUCACCGCCCAACAUUCUGUGCCAUACAGCAUCGCCGGCCUUAUUGCCGUCUUAUAAAAUUUUCCCUUGAGCUUCAGUGGCAUAUUAUGAAAAACAUAUCCCUAAGGGCGUUCUAAAAUGAUUUGAGACCCAUUGACCAAAAAUCAACCGUCGGUCAACGAUCGACGAUAGGGUCCACAACCCUACGUAACUUGAUCCGGAAGAUCCACUCCUCGGAUUUUCUUAUAAAUUGCUCAGUGCAGUUAACUUUUCUUCCCCACUAACAAUGUAUUUGGACAAUCAAAAUUUGGCAAAGUGCCAAAACCCUACCAUAUUUUCCGAUUUCGAUGUAUGCAGAAAAUGGAGUUAAUCUUUCUUAAGAAAUCGUUUUAGAAUUCACUGCAUCAUUGAGUACUUGAAUUUGAAAAAGGUCUCAGGCUAGGAGUAUAUAAUGAAUCGUUUAUGGCCUCUAGACCUUACAUAGCUCAUAAGCUUUUGUUUCGUGAUUUGAUUAGAGAGACAAAACCAGAUUAGGACAAUGUUUAGUGAGUCUUUGGUUAACCUAAUCUGUCGGGCAAAGCUACUCAUAGCUGUGAUUCUCUUGCAGUGUGGCUAUGCAGGUCAGAAUGUAAUUGCUAGUCCUGCUCUAAACCAGGGAAUGAGCCAUUAUGUGUUCUUAGUCUAUAGAAUGGCUAUUGCAACUGUUCUCAUUUCUCCUUUUGCUCUUAUUUUGGAUAGGUUUGUUUGCUCUCUCGAUAUCCAUGCACAACACUCUUCUAUUGUUAGGCAGUCAUGUUUAGAAAACAUUACUAAUCGUCAAGAUUAAGCACCAAGAAAUUGCGGCCGAACAUGACCUCACGAGUAAGAUUCUUAACCGUUAAGCGUAAUGUUAACGUUUAGCUAAGCGACUCUAAACGACCUUAUUUGAAGUAUCCACAUCUGUCAUGUUCAAUAUUUUCCUGCAACUGCAUUUGUCACACCUCUCCCAGACCCUGCGUAAAGCGGGAGCCUUGUGCACUGGGUACGAACUGCAUUUGUCACACAUGGACAAAACGCACAGUUUAAGCAGAUGAAUUUAUAAGGGUUUUGCAGGCUUGAGAAAGUGAACAUUAGGAAACUUCAUAGCCAAGCAAAGGUAGUGGGGACUAUAGUCAUAGUUGAGGGAGCUAUUAUAUUGACUCUGGUGAAGGGACCGAAACUUAAUUUUCCAUGGACAAAGGGCAAACGUCUAAACUAUGUUCAUCACCAAUUGCGAAGUGAUUCAAACCAUAAAGACCUCAUUAAGAGUGCCCUCGUGACUGCAGCAUCUUGUUUCUUCUGGUUUUGUUUCAUCAUUUUGCAAGUAGAAGCUCUUAAAUCUACACCAUAGAUCACAUUUUUAUCCUUUUCUGGAAACUGUUAUUAGCAUUCCAAAAUUCUUCUCUUAUUAGCAUUCCUAAAGACCUCAUUAAAAAGUAAAAUAUUAUGGUGAAUUCUAAGCAGUGCAUGCUUUUACGCUAAGAUCAUAUCCUUGUGAGCUCUCCCUCAUAGCUUUUACAAGCUUUUGGGGUCUAGUCCAAUACUUGCCAUUUUCAUGGAACGGAAAAACCCUAAUGCUGUCUGGUCUAUACAAUUUGACAUCAAACUUUUAGCAUCUUUUUAGGGGGUAUGAAAUUUUUUUUUUCAACAUGUUUUUUUAAAUUCUUGAAUCAAUAAACUGUGAUUUACAUUCACAGAAUUGGUUACGCCGCAGGCAAUACUCUCUGGGGAUAAUUAUUAUAUCAUGGGAGCGGUAAACAAAGAAAAGGGACGUAUUUACCAUUCUUCUUUUAACCCCUUAGGCACAGUAACUACUGCAAUUAUGGGUUCCCUUGUUUUAGCUGAGCAGAUGUAUUUCAAAAUGAGACCCAUAAAUUUCAGAUAGGAGACAAAGUGGAACGAAUUUUAAGUUUCAGAGAGUAGAAUGAUGAUUUUAGAGUCACAGAGGGCAAAAUAAGAUCAAAAUAGAGUUACAGAGACGUUUCUAAAAAUAAGCCAUAAAAGUAUGUAAUUGGAAAAGUUUCAUGCCCUUGGUCUGCAAGACCCAAAGUCACGAGUAACUAGUUUACCACUUAGCAUAAUUAGUUCACUUGUUAUAACCAUGGAAGAAAAUGCCGAUAAUAUCGCCGAUAUUAUCGGUUUUUCGCGCAAUGGAUAUUUAAAUAGGUAUCCAAAUGGUUUUCGUCAAAAUAUCGCGAUAUUAUCGAUAAUAUCGAUAAUAUCGCGAUAUAUUCGAUAUUAUCGAAACAAUCUCGUCGGAAAGGCAGCCGAGGCUGCGUCGUCGCACUACCCAGAUCUAUUGCAGACUCAGACCUAAGAUCUGCGCCUCAACGACGCCGAUUCCGCCGCCGUUGUCGAAGUCGCGGCGAAAGAGCUCGCAGAACGGAUCGUAGUUGUAGAUCCGGAACCCGUGGUCUGUCUCCACGGCGAAGCAGGCGUGGUCUUGGUUGAAGCAAACGUGGAACAGAGACGGAGGCGAGCGCGGCGCCGGCGGGGCAGGCUCCGGAGGGGGAGGAGAAUGGGUGGUUGUUGUGGAGGUUGAGGUUGGGGUUUGGGGGCGAUUGGGGGUCAUGGUGGUCGUUGCUGGAGUCAACGACAGAGGUGGGGUUGUCGUCGGUGGGAUCGGUGAGGAAGGCAGAGGCGGAGAUGAAAGAGUGCGAAGAGAGAGAGAGAGAGAGAGAGAUAUGAGAGAGUGCGAAGGCAGAGGCGGAGGUGAAAGAGUGCGAAAGAGAGAGAGAGAGUGAGUGAGAGCAGAGAUGAGAGAGUGCGAAGGCAGAGGCGGAGAUGAAAGAGUGCGAAGGCAGAGAGAGUGAGUGAGAGCAGAGAUGAGAGAGUGUGAAUAAUAUGCGGUGGUUGUGCAAGUUGAGGACUCAAAAAAUUGGGUAAUGUGAGAUAGCAGAUGUUGACAUUUUUGGAUAGUUUAAAAAUUGAAAACCAUGGACUUUGAGAUGGUUUUAAUCAUGAAAACCACCCAAGGUGGAUGGGUGAUGGGAAAUAGCAAGGUGAGGUGGACGGUUUAUAAAGUGGAAUAUAUAUAUAUAUAUAUACAGGGAGUUUAAGGAGAGGGAUCCCCAUUUUUUCAAAAAAAAUGGGGACACGCUCCCCACCGUUAGAUUGACUUUAAUUAAAUUGUGUGGUUGAGAUUAAAACACAAGCCACAGAAUCUCAACCACAGGAUUUCAUUAAAGUCAAAUCCAACGGUGGGGAGCGUAUCCCCAUUUUUUUGAAAAAAUGGGGAUCCCUCCCCUUAAGCAAUUCCUAUAUAUAUAUAUAUAUAUAUAUAUAUAUAUAUAUAUAUAUAUAUAUAUAUAUAUAUAUAUAUAUAUAUAUACACAUAUAUAUAUCUUAUAUAAAUUAUAAAUUAUUGUUUUCGAUUACAAUUUUACAUAAUUUAAGAGCAUCUUCAAUAUAAAUUUUAAAUAAAACCCCCACAACCAUAUAAUUCUUAAAUAAAUAAAAAAAGGGUAAUAAGUCACUCAUGUAUCUUACCAUGCAAUGUAUAAAGUGUAAAAUAUUAUACUAAUUCAUUAUAUAUAAAUGAUUAUGGUGUGUUUAAACUUCUUUUAUUAAUUACUACAUAUUUUCUACACUUACAAUGUUUGCCAGCUCGCUAUAUAAUCAGUUAAAUCCAUCAUGCAAUGCAUUUCCUUCUAAUUUUUUGUGAUAAACUAAUAGAUAAUUGACUAAAUAAACAUCCUGCAAAGUUUCAAUAAAAAUUUCCAAGUUUUUCUUACAAUUUCCGUGGUUUCCAUGUAAUUUCUAUCGAUAUCGAUAUUAUCCCGAUAUUUCCAUCGAUAUUUCCGUGUUUUCGGACAACCGAUAUUUUCGAUAUUACCGAUAUUUUCUUCCUUGGUUAUAACAUAAGUGGACAACGAGUUUAUACUUUAGGAUGUCAAUAAAUAUCCAACGGACUUGUGUUAUAACACGUGAUAUGAACCUCAAAUAUAUUUAAUUAAUGGCAAGACUAAGAUAACCCACAAACAAUAGUUGGCCUCCACAGAGAGGCUGCAUCAUCUAUCAGCCUGAAGAUGCUUCUUCAAUUGGAAAGCGGCCAACUCAGCGUGGUUUCUUAAAAAAAAAUUCAGAGAGCAAAACAGACAUUCACACAAUAUCAAGUAAUAGAGAAUAAACUGUCCAAAAUCCAAAAUUCUAUUUUUAUAAGAACCGUUUCAAAUAGCGAAAAUACCUGUAAACCAUCCACCAAAUCCAGUAUUUAAAUUGAGGUGUCUAUAACUUAGUAAUUUACUAUAAUCUGUAUGCUGCAUUGCUGCUAUGCACGAUCAUAUCUUAAUUUAACCCCAGAAAGUUGAUGAGGAAGAUUCCGAUGUCAAGAAGGUACAGUGGUUUCAUCUUUUCCAUAGAUACGCUGAAGUUCUCGGGUUGCAGCUUGAUAUGAUGCUGAAAAAGGCAAAAAUAGAUUGUAUGAGAGAAAUUGUAUUAAGCAGGUCACUCCAAAAAAAUCAUCUAAAAUUAUUCAUCACCUUUCCAGAUGCGGAAAUUCUUCUGAUUAAUAGGAGACCCUGUCACGGUUUGAAUGGCCUCAAACAGCAUGUCCUGAGGAGUGUUCUUCAGCUCUUGGACUACUGCAUAAAUGGUCUUUCCGUUCUCAAAGUAGAUGUGAUUAUUGGGAUGUUUGGUCUUGGCACCAGCAUGACGCUCAAACUCAUAAGCAUUAAGAGACUGCAUGAUAUAAUUAAACGCGUUCGAGCUAAGUUACAAAUCGCAGAUUGAAAGCUAAUUGAUCAAAGUGGGGAGCUCCAUUAGACCCAUAGAUCAUGGAACAAAUACGGUGGGAGGCCCAACCACCACACUACAAGUAUAGACACAAACCCCCCUUACCAUACGUGCAACUCUCACCGCAUAUGGCUAAAUGAAACAUUUUCUUUUUAAUUUUUCUACACAUGUUUAUAAAGCACUUCCCUAAGUUACAAUUUUGAAAGAUAUGAGGAUAAAUUCGUUGUGUCUUACUUCAAAGCAGUUGUGAAUCUAACAAGAGUUCAUUACCUUUGUGUGAUUGCAUUGAUCGCAGGAACAUAGAUACCCGGCUCCUUUUAUGGUUGCUUUGAGGUUUUUCUGCAGAUAACAUAAAAAAGUCAAAUCAAGGGAAUUAUUACAGAAAAUUAAUCACCUGUCAAAAGAAUCAGAACGAUCAAUAGUUAUCAGCUUACCUCCCGUGACCAGGAAACAUAAUUCACCGGAACGCCAUCAAACAUACCAGUCGAUAACAAACUUUUGACAUUUGAAGGGAAGUUGUUUGGAGGAGCUUUCCUAGCAGUCCUUGGCUCUUUAUUUUUUGGAACCGUAUCAGUUUUAGAAUCAACUUGCAGAGCUUCACCUACAUUUGGAUCUGUAUGUGACUGAACUGGAUCCUUUAGGCCAAGUUCUUCUGACUGCGGAGCCGUGUUCUGACUACUCGUCAGCAAAUCAUAGCUGUUGAUGAUCCCGCCAGAAGGAUUUGUCUCGGGUUCAUCAUGGAAACUUCCAAAAGAGAUGGUGGUGCUGUCAUUCUUAUUGUAAUUAUGACUCAUAGAAUUGGUAGCUCCUUUAUCAUAGGGAGGACCAAUUGGUACAACAUUCGAAUCAGCCUUGUCAUAGGUCGGACCCAUUGAUGUAAUAUUAUCAGUCUGUUUAUCAUAGGUGGGAGCCAUUGAGAUGAAAUUCUCAUUUGCCUUACCAUAUGUUGCACCCAUAGAAAUAAAAUUCUCAUCACCUUUGUUGUAGGAGCUACCUAACGAUAUGAAACUGCUAUCUCCCUUUUCACAUGACUGGCCUAUUGAUAUAAAACUUCCAUCGUCCUUGUCAAAGGGCGGACCCAUUGAUAAGUUACUAUGUUGCCCUUGUUAUAAUUUUGAGCCAUCGAUAUGAAAUUCCCAUUUCCCUUACUGUAGGUGUGACCCAUUGAAAUGAAAUUGCCAUCUGCUUUAUUAAAGGCAGGCCCUAUUGAGAUUCUGUUCUCUUCGCCAUUAUUAUAAGUCGGACCCAAAGAUAUGGUGUUGUCAUUGCUCUUAUUAUAUGCAGUACUCACUGAAAUUGUAUUGUUGUCUCCUCUAAUGUAGGAGUGCCCCAUUGACGCAGACAUGACGUUCUCAGAGUCCCUAACUUCAUUGACCUUAACUUUUCUGAGUCCACCAAAAUUGAGACAUGAUGAUUGGUCUUCAAUAGAGUUAGACAUUGACAAACCCACUGACGGAUCAUUUCGAUAUUGAUUCUCAAAACCCUUUCUUCCCAAAUUCAUAUGUCCAUUUCCAACAGGUUGAAUGUUCCUCUCACCUGGGUUGAUUGUCCGUACUGGCUCAGAUCCGAAAAGCCGAUCAGAGAAUGGACAUGGAACUGACUGAAACCCUGAAGUAUUUUCCCACGGCGAAAUAGCCAAAUGUGGAACUCCUGAAACUGGCCUGCCAUUAGCAGCCUCCAUUGCGUGCUUCUUGUUGUUGAAGAGCUCAACCCCAUUGGAAUCCACAAACCAUGGGUGACCUUGCUUUGAAUCUAAUCUGGAAGGAUUGUCAUAACCCAUCUCUGAAACUGGCCUGCCAUUAACAGCCUCCAUUGUUUGCUUCUUGUUGUUGAAGAGCUCCGGCCCAUUGGAAUCCAUAAACCACUGGUGACCACGCUUUGAAUCUAAUCUGGAAGAAUUGUCAUAAUCUCUCGGAGUCCACAAACUUUUGGGUUGGAAAGACUGACAAAGAAAAUUACUGUUUAGAUUGAAUGACAAAAUGUUAAAAUAAGAACAGUAGCCUUCUAAACACAAGCAUAUUCAUUAAAAUAAUAGUAUCUGAAAACAGAGGAGACAUGUAUAUGAAGACAGAAGGAUAAACAGAUCGUUCUGCAGACCACUUAAUGUUGCAUUUUAAGAGAGAUCAAAAGAAAUUACACGUGACUCAUAUCUUCCAAGAAGAUACACACACGAUUCACUAACAGCUUAUUUUUAUAGAUUUUUGAACUCCCACCAGAGAUGCUUUCCUAGACAACCAAAUGCAUUUUAUCAUUUCACAUAUCAGUGGAUUUCACAAAAUGGACUACCAUAAAAUUAAUCCCGUUCAGAAGAAUAGUGGCAGUGGUGCUAACAAACCAGGUCCUGGCUGUAACGAUGAAAAUAUUAAUAAUUUCUUAUGUCUGUCCAAAUCAGUUAUGCUCUGAAGCAUUAAAUCUUUUCCUCCAUAAUGCAAAAGGACUUGGAGAGAAAUCAUUUUAUGAUGGAAGAGAAAGAAAAUUUUGCCUUACGGAGCUGUAGGCAAUUCAAAGAGUCAAAGAUCAACUUCCUAAUAUGCAUGGUUUCCAAAACUAAUUGUUACAAAAAUCAUUUUAAAAUAACAAUAAGAACCAACGUACUUGGUAUUAAUAACAACAAUAGAGGCUGGAUUUGGCAAAAAGAACAGCAAGUUGCUGUUAAUCGUGGAAACUCUUCUAAGGAAAUUAUUAGGCAUUUAUUUGAUAAAGCUUUGUAUCACGUCGGUCCCCAUUAGAUAAAGCUUCCUGAGCUAGUAUGAUAUACAUCUAACCAUGAUUAGAUUUCUUCACCUAUAUGCUAAGUAAAAUAAUUUGUUAAGAAAAAAACAUAACCAUCAAAGCAUAAAUAUGCACUUCUUAAGUAAAUUAUAUUUCUUACUAGCUGUACUUAGCAAGCUAUGAGAAGAAAAUUCCUUCAAAAAGUAAUGAAAUGAAAUAUCAAUAAAUGCAGAAAUCCUAUGUUAGCUCGUAUACUUUUAGCUAAUAAGUACAAGACACUAGAAUCUUGAUACGAAUUGAUCUAAUAUACUUCUAAUAAUCCAAUGUUAGCUCACUUUUUUUUAAUUGUUUUUACAAAUUUAACUAUAGAAGAGGUAAAUCUUUCAGCGCUUGAUGUUGAUCCCACACACUUAGCGGUCUAAGUUAAACAAGUUAUUCUAUAAUCCAAAGUUGCAAGGAUGCUUAACUGGUCACUGCAAAUUUAUUCUAGUAUUCUGAUCUUACUAUUACUCAACAUAACUGGUAUCAAACUUAAACUCUUGAAAGCUGCUUUCUUCUUCAAAAAAAAUUCUUGAAAGCUGCUAACUAAGUUCUUUUUUUUUACUUAUAAAUGACAAUUUCUCUCAAUAAUGUUUUUCAAUAAGUUUGACAUUAUAGCAAAUUACUAAGAAACAUUAUGCAAUUAACAGUCCGUAAUAACCAAUAAUGUAUUCUAGUAAGAGAACAGAUGCUCAUGGAUAAUGCAUAUCUAGUUCUUUUUGCUCGCCCAAAUGCGAACGUUGAGGUCCAGAAUCACUGGAUAUAGCUACUGACAUACCCGCCUUACCGUCACAAAAGAAUCCAUCCUUUAAAUUGAAUUCUAUGAAUGUAAAUUAGUAAAUAAUAUAGCAAGGAAAUUAAAGAUCAUUUUCAGUCUGAUCACCAAAAGUCAAGCGUGUAGAGAUCAAAUACCAUAACUCUGUACAAAAAGCACAUGGCUUUCCAUUUGGCGUAUAAGCCAGUCGUCAUUUUUCAUUAAAAAUUUCACAUUUUCAAACAAUCAAAACAAGAUUGGAUUCCCAGAUCAGAUUGAAAAUAUGAACAACGCAAAGAUACGAUUAUUUAAUUCUCAAAGAACCAACGCACACGAAAACACCCAUUUUACAAACACAAACAAGAUCAUUGACCGAAAAUAGAUAGAAAAAAGUAACAACCACACAGAGCAAAAAGCUGCAAAACAGGCAGCACCAUGAUUUAUCAAAAGCCCGAUACCUCUCAGGUGCAAUUGUAUCAAAAACCCCAAAAAAGAUAAACCGAAAAUUUCGACACGACAUUGGCAUCAAAAAGCUUCAAUCAGAGUUCAGAGUCUACCAUUUUUGAAAAAGGCUCACUGAGUCACCACAGCACAACUCAAUGAACUCGCUUCCUCACUGUCCACCUCAGAUUUUCCCACACUCCACUCUCUGUCAAACCCAAACCACCUUAUACGACGCCUGUUCACCUGUAAAACGCCACUGAUUAAAACAAAAAGCAAUCCAUGCAACUCCAAGCUCCAAGCUCAGGGCUCGACCAAUCUGCACACUACAAAAACAAAAACCCGAAAAAAUUGAGCUUCGAUCACAGAGAGCGCGCAGCGACGACACAGAAUGAGAAAAAUACGCAGAGAUCAAAGCGAUCAAAUUGAAUUUUCAAUAACCUAUACAUACGCAAAUUAUAUGUAUACAAGCACGAUACACAGAAAAAUGGGGGCCAAAACCUAGAAAUUGAGAAGAAUGAGAGGAAAGAGUACCUUCGCCGGUGCGAUUUUCCCGCGCCGGAACACAGAAUUUCCUUUUCUUUUACUUUUUUUUCUUCUGAGAAAUAAGAGAGUGAAGGACUGGUGGGGGGGUAUGAGAAAUAUUGGUGAGCUUUGGGUUUUAACUGUGGCAAUGUCUACUACGGAGCUCUCUACCGUUAUGUUUAUAGCCCUGUUAUCGUCACCGUACACGUGGCCAGUUUGGCUCCUGAUGGGUUUUCUCCGCGAGCUCUCUGUUAUUAGGGGACGUUGGAUAUAGGGUGUCAACGAUGCGGAUGAAUAACGUGCACAUGGUUGCCGGAUUUGUCAUAUCCACUAUUUCUUUAUUUUUAGCUUUAAAUUGAAUAAAUGGAACGAAAAUCAUCAAUAUAAAUAGGAUAAUGUUAGGGAGAUUCAAUUUGAAAACUAAAUUUGCAAAAACUAAAUGAUGUGUUAUCAAUAGAAAUAAGCAUGUUUAUCAACAUUUAAGUAAUAAAUCAAUCAUCAAUUUCCAUGUAUUUUAAUUUCCAAAACUUUGUCUAUAAAUUUAAUCUAUCUAGCAUUACUCAUAUAAAUAAUACAAAAUUACUAUUCUUAUCCCAUUUGUAUUAUAUUCUAAGAGUAAACUGCUGAUUUUCUUGUUGAACUUUCACUUAGCUUUCGAUUUCCUCCUAACUUUUAAAUUGGAAAAUUAAGGACUCAAACUAGUUUUUUUUUUUGCCAAUUUCCCCCAUGCUGUUAACUUUUCAUUCAUUUCAUUCAAAUUUAUGUUAAAUGGAAGUAUGUGCAUAACAUAUGAGGGUAGUCUGGUCGCUUUGUUCUUUUAAAUAAUUGAAAACCUUAUAUUUCUAAAAUAUUAACCUGUGCAAAUUUGUGUAAUUAUAUAGCUUCUAUAUUUAAAGGUCUAGUGAAGUGACGUUUUUGUCUUCAAAUGAGAGUCAUGUGAUGUGCAUAUGAUAAGAGAUAACAAUAAUUUGAAUGAAAUAUAUGUGAAACUAAUGGUAAGGGUAAAUCGGCAGUUUACCCUAUUUCUAAUAAAAAUGAGACUCACAUUUAUGUUAGUGGGCCUUAUUUUAUUAAAGACGCAAUAUGAAAAUUGUCAUAAGUGUAGUAUUACUUAAUUAAAUAUAAAUGUAAUAAAAAAAUAUAGAGCUUGUUUAUUAUUUUUCGUCUCACACAUAUUCAUCGGGUAUUCUUGAUAGCCAUGCUAAUCGAAAACCAUAUUUCCCAUCGAUUAACGGGAGACUAUGAUUAAAAAAAAUAUAUCGUUUAUUAAAGUAUCAAGAUAUCCACGUCUAAGAAUAAAAGAUAUGAUUAGGGAAAACAAUUAGUAUUUAAAAAAAUAUAUUUACAUUGUGAAGUCAGACUUCCACUUUGAGUCGGAUGUUUUUGGUUUCAAAACAAAUAAAUAAAUAAAUAAUAUAUAUAUUUCCUUGUUUGGAAAUGCUGUGAAGGUCAAUAGCAUUUCUCUAAUGAACAGUCGUUUAUUUCCAUCCCAUAUUUGUUUGUGUAGUAAAGAAGAAUGAAAGUCUGUUCGACUUUCGAAUAUUUUCCUUAAGAAAAGGAAACACCCAGAAUAUUUAGGGACAAAGUUGUAGUUUUUAGUACUUAAUCAGGACAAUUAAUGAUGAGAUAAGAAGAAAGGUUAGCUACUCAAGGAUGAGUAAGAACUUCUACUCAAAACUCUUCAUGUCUAAAUCAUAGAACUUUGUGUUUAUGAUCAAAACCGUUCAUAUUAUGAAUUAUACUGUAAAUAUCAUAUAUGCAAAAAAAUGAAUUAAAAUUAAGGUCAUUUAGUCAAUCUUUUAUACCAAAUACAUAGACCAUUUAUUAUACUUUUACCAAUUCUGUUCUUCUAUUUUUGUACAGUUCGAUGUCUAAUGACCUUAGUUUUAAUUAAUUUUUUGUAGAAACAAUCUUUAUAGAGUGAUUUAUAAUAUGAACGAUUAAUUAUCAUAAAUACAAAGUUCUAUGAAUCUACAACGAACAAUAUUGAGUAAGAACUCCUACUCAUUCUUUGGGUAGCCAAAUAUUAUUCAUGAGAUAAAUCAAUAAAUGGUUUCAAAGGUAAGGAACGAGGAAUUUUUGAAUAUGUCAAGAACAUUAUCCGGUAUCCUAAGUGUCAUAAAACAAUUAGUUUGAGUUUUUUUUAUAAGUUUCCAACCAAUUGUAUUAUACUAUGUGUACCAUGCCGUAUUCGUAGCACACUAAAAAAUCUCUCAUAAGGGACAAGCGAACCCCCAAGGCCGGGGAUUCAAGGGAAUAGAGUUUCAUACUCAUUUCCAAGGCUCUAAUAUGCGAAGAUGUACUCCAUUGCAACUUAAUUGCAGGUGCUGAAUAGUAUUAAAUUACCAAGUUAUAUGUUAAAAUCCUAGGGUUUUGGCUGGCCAAACAAUCAACAGAAAAAUUGCUAAUUAGAUUGAAGUCAGAUACACAGCUCAUCUCAUUCUUUAUCACAGAGGCUCCAAAAGGAUCAGAAAGUAGAUGUCUUAUUUGGUGCUAAAACAAACAUAUACUGAUAUGCAAGACAGAAAGAAUGAGAUCAGCUGAGGGCCAAGUGCCAAAGGAAACCCUGACACAUCCUACAAAAGAAACACAACCAUCACAAGGCAUAUCCAUCGUUAUAGGAUGCCAAAUCAAAAUUUUCUAGCUAGAAAGCUAUUAAUAAGAUAUAGAAAAUUGAUCGUUCCUGGUGGGUAAUUAAGCGGAAGAAAGUAUGAAAAAAUUUCCUAAUGCCCUCGAUAUCCAGUUGCAGAAUAAGGGCUAGUCCGAGAAUAAAGAAUGCAUGCUCUUUGGCGUUUCCUUUCUUGCGGCUAGAGGGUGUUCCAUGCUGAAAGGAAAACAAAGUGCUAACUCAAACACUACACAGAUAGAUGUUUAAAGAGAGAAACAUAUAGCAGCUCAAUCAACAGGAACGGCCAACAGUGUAAUUCUACUGACCUAAUUCUACAAACAGGAAACUGCUUCCUCUCUCUCAAUGAAAUCUGUGCAGGAGUUCUCUCAAACAAAAAAAAAAUUGUGCACAAGUAAGGGAAUUAAUUAGUGUAAGGGGUGUGAUAUCCACACACCCCAUUUUACUUCUCACACACCCUUCUAAUUUUCGGCCGUCGGAUCGGAUGAAUUAAAGAAGAUCAACGGACAGAAAUUAACAAGGGGUGUGUGGGAAGUAAUUUGGGGUGUGUGGAUAGCACACCCCUUAGUGUAACUUACUAAAAACCUAUGUUCUUCCCAAGGAUUUCGUGAAUGGUUAUUUUAUGACAUGAAUCAGGAAGUUACUUGUUUUCUUGAUUUUUCAAAUUUAGGAAGUUACGAGUAGCAUAUAUCCAAGCUAUAAAGGAUAUGUAUGAAGGAGCAAAGACUGCCGUAAGAACUCAUGAAGGACAAACCGAAAGCUUUCCCAUAACUGUAGGAUUACAUCAAGGCUCAUCCUUAAGUCCUUACCUUUUUGCGUUGGUAAUGGAUGAGUUAACAGGACAUAUUCAAGAUGAUAUUCCUUGGUGUAUGCUUUUCGCAUACGAUAUAGUGUUGAUAGAUGAAACUCAGGAAGGGGUAAAUGCAAAGCUUAACCUUUGGAGAGAAGUGUUGAAAUCUAAAGGUCUUCGCCUAAGCCGAUCAAAGACAGAAUAUAUAGAGUGCAAGUUCAGUGCAAAUGGAAGCCAAAACGAGUUAGGGGUGAGGAUCGGAGAUCAAGAAAUACCAAAGAGCGAUCGUUUUCGUUACCUAGGAUCUAUCUUGCAAAAGAACGGAGAAUUAGAUGGAUAUCUCAACCAUAGAAUACAAGCUGGAUGGAUGAAGUGGAAGAGUGCAUCCGGCGUGUUGUGUGACCGCCGUAUGCCACUGAAGCUCAAGGGAAAAUUUUAUAGGACGGCAAUAAGGCCGGCGAUGCUGUAUGGCACAGAAUGUUGGGCGGUGAAGCAUCAACACGUACACAAAAUGGGUGUAGCGGAGAUGAGGAUGCUUCGUUAGAUGUGUGGGCACACAAGAAAGGAUAAGAUUAGGAAUGAGGAUAUCCGGGGUAAAGUAGGAGUAGCCGAAAUUGAAGGAAAGAUGAGAGAAAAUCGGUUACGAUGGUUUAGACAUGUGCAAAGAAGGCCUACUGACGCUCCGAUUAGAAGAUGCGACUAUGGGACAGAGGUUCAGGGCCGAAGGGGUAGAGGAAGACCUAGGAAAACUUUGGAAGAGACUCUAAGAAAAGACUUAGAGUACUUGGAUCUAACGGAGGACAUGACACAAGACCGAGCACAAUGGCGUUCAAAGAUUCAUAUAGCCGAUCCCACUCAGUGACUUGGAUUUUCCAAGUCUCCAACCGAGAAGUUUUCCUCACUCGGGAAAUUAAGGGAAUACUACCUCAACCUACAUGCUCCACUCACAAAUCUUCAACAUACAAGCUUCAACAAAAGAAAAUUCAGAGAACUUAGCGAAGAAGGCUUUGGUGUAUUUAACACAAUACAUUGAAAUGAAGGAAAACUAUUUAUUGAUAUCCCCGAUAAGUCACAAAUAUGUACAUAUACAUGAGUCAAAAUAAACAAACAAGAGGGAGCCUUCACAAAGGUUGCUUAGGAGAAGUCUCAGCAGUCGGUAGAGCCCCAGAAAGAGCAGGCACUGGAGGGGGAUCAUUUGGAGCCUCAGUACUGGACAGAACCCUAGAAGGAGGAGGCAGCAGAGGUUGAUCAUUUGGAGCUUCAUUACGCGGUACAGCCCCAGAAGACGAAGGCAAUAAAUGCCUUUGGAACAAACCCACAAAUCUCUGAUGAUCAAGUAAAACCUGACCAUCAGAUUCCUUCAUCUGGUCAAGCUUCCUCUUCAUGUUUGUAGCAUAGUCAUGUGCGAGCCGGUGCAACUGUUUAUUCUCAUGCUUGAGCCCUCUAAUCUCCUGUUUGAGACUCAUCACUUCAGCCGCCAAUGAUUCAACUUGGCGGGUUCGAGCAAAUAGGCGUUGGGCCAUGUUAGACAUAGAACCUGCACACUGAACACUGAGCGCCAGAGAAUCCUUAACAGCCAACUCAUCAGACCGUUUGGAAAGUAGUUUGUUAUCUUUGGGAGUGAGAAGGUUCCUGGUCACUACCGCAGCGGUCAUAUCAUUCUUCAUCACGGAAUCCCCAACGGUAAGAGGACCAGUAGGGGAGACGAAGGAUGGGCGCCAUAUGUUGUCUGGAGAAGGCGUGACUGCCUCUUCAACAAGGUUCAAGUCAAAACGACGGUCGGAGGGGCCAGACAUUUUCAAAGGUGUUGAAGAGAGAAGAUGUCGGACAAAUCAAGAUCUUAGAAGUGCAAGAAUGGAGCUUCUACUGGUGGAGAUUCAAGUGUGCUUUGGAACUUAAUGCCAGCCUCUAUAAAAAUCUGCACUCGACGGAGCUUCAGAAAUCGAAGAGGCGUUUGCUUUCUCAAAAGCUGGGCUGCUCAGAGACCACGAGACGUUUGCUUUCUCAAAAGUUGGGCUGCUCAAAUACCACGAAGGCCGAUCUCAGAAAUCGAAGAGGCGCUUGCUUUCUCAAAAGCUGGGCUGCUCAGAGACCACGAGGGCCGAUCUCAGAAAUCGAAGAGGCACCUACUUUUCCAGCCUUGUCAGCACCUGUCAACUUUGCGAAAAUUAUGGGCAUUAUGUCGAAGAUUUCUGGUGAAGUAGAAAGCACAUGAAUCUUGAUGUUCAAUCACCCACUUCCCACACGCAACAUUAGCUCAUGGGUACCACAGAUAACUUUGCCAAAGUUCUCUGACAAAGUUGAGACACGUGAAGCUUGCAGCUCCCACUACACCGCUCUGACCAAGAAGGGUAAAAGAAUAGCAAAGAAACAGCACUAACAAAGUUUAGACACAUAAAUUUUGAAGGUCUAACUACCAUAUUAUUACCCAUAAGGGUAAAGGAACAGUACCACUGCUGGAUAAUUGGAAAGUCCCUGUGUGUCAACCUCUGUGCUUCGUGGCAAGAUAGACUAGCAAACAUGCCCAACCUUUUCUCACAUUCGAGAAAACACUCCCAACAAGAUUGCUUGCUCCAAAAUCGAAGAGGCACCGCCCUCCGAAUCUCGAGAGCCAGACUCCCAAUAUGAUUACUUUCUCAAAAAUCGAAGAGACACCGCUCUCCGAAUCUCCAGAGCCAGACCCCUAGCAAGAUUGCUUUCUCAAAAAUCGAAAAGACAUCGUUCUCCGAAUCUCGAGAGCUAGAUCUCCGACAGGAUUGCUUGUUCGAAAACCGAAGAGGCACUACUUUCCCAACUUCAAGAGCCGGAUCUCCUUGGAUAAAGCUUGUCUGUAAUCUUUACACCUAACAUCAGCUUUCCAGAUACCACAGACCACUUUUUCAAAGUGCUCUGACAGAGUUAAAACAUGUGAAGCUGGCAGCUCCCACUACCGUGUUAUGACCAAGCAGGGUAAAGGAAUAGCAUUACUACUUGUUGUUAGAGAGACUCCUAUAUAUGUUGACCUCCAUCCCCAACAGACAGGCAGACCUGCAAAAAUGCUCAACCCUUCCUCAUAUCUGAUAGGGCACUCCCAAAGAAGCCUUUCGAAAUAUUCAGCUUUCUUUCCCCCCGAUAAUACCUCUGCAAACAAGCUAUACUAGAGCAAGAAUAUCUCAUGUCAUCAGGGUUAAAAGCAAGAGUAUCCCAUAUCAUGUUUUUCCCUGUCUUUUCCUUUGGCCUUGUUCUUACCUGCAAGACAAGGAGAAAGAGAGCAAUCAGUCAACACUUGGAAUCAAGCUUCCAGUUAGGAACUGACUACCUGGAACCCCUUACUUGAUUACUUACCUGGCAUUGCUCUCGAGUACUCAUCUUCAACAUCUUAUAUUUCCAGGGAAGAUACCGCAUCUGCCUAAGGAACAUAUAGGGCAAGUGAGAAGGAUGCAAGGAAGCAUGUGGAGACAAGCGUAACAGCACACGUGCCGAUACAUCCACUACUCUGUCAAAAGCAAAAGUAUCCCAUAUCAGCAGGGUCGAACGUACUAUAGAUUUGAUGGACUUGUUUUGACCCUCAAAUUCUUCAGUCGGCCUUAUACUCUGGAGGAAACCAGAAAACCCUUCAGCCCAGUUCAAGAAUAAGCCUGUGGAAAGUUGCUUCUUCAAAAGCAAAAGUAUCCCAUAUCAUAUCUUCUAAUUUUUCUUCUCUUUAUCCUUCAUGCUGCCUGCAAGAUAGGGAGAAUGUGAACAAUCAGCCGGAACUCGAAAUCAAAGUUCUGAUCUGGGACUGAUUGCUUGGAGCUCUGAUUGCUUACCUUGUCUGUCACCUCUUUCAGCAGAUCCCCUAGCUCGGGGACUUGGACGACUCCUACUACAUGGUUUGUAUCGCGCUUGACCAAGCCUGAAACUACAAGCUUCAAGUGAUUGAUACAUUACCUUGUGCAUCUCCACCAGUUAAAGAUACCACCCCUGGAUGGAGGAAGAGUACUUCCAGAGAAGAUGCCACAUCUACCUACGAGACAGAUAAGGCAAGUCAAGACGAUACCACACUCCGGAACUUAGAAGUUUCGUGAUUACGAGAUCAUUCUCCCACAAUAUUUCCUAAUGUCAUUUGUAUUAAAUCAUUCACUUAUACUCACUAAAAGAGAUCUUGAACCUAUGUACUUGUCUAACCCUUCAUAAUUAAUGAGAACUCCUCUAUUUCGUGGACGUAGCCAAUAUGGGUGAACCACGUACAUCUGGUGUUUGCUUUCUUAUCUCUAUCCAUUUAUAUACUUAUCCACACUAAUGACCGGAGCAAUCUAGCGAAGAUCACAAAAAGCGACCGUUUUCGCUACCUAUGAUCUAUCUUGCAAGAGAACGGAGAAUUAGAUGGAAAUCUCAACCAUAGGAUACAAGCUGGAUGGAUGAAGUGUAAGAGUGCAUCCGGCGUGUUGUGUGACCGUCGUAGGUCACUGAAGCUCAAGGGAAAAUUUUAUAGGACGGCAAUAAGGCCAGCAAUGUUGUAUGGCACAGAAUGUUGGGCGGUGAAGCAUCAACACGUACACAAAAUGGGUGUAGCGGUGAUAAGGAUGCUUCGUGGGAUGUGUGGGCACACGAGAAAGGAUAAGAUUGUGAAUGAGGAUAUCUGAGGUAAAGUAGGAGUAGCCGAAGUUGAAGGAAAGAUCAGAGAAAAUCGGUUACGGUGGUUUGGACAUGUGCAAAGAAGGCCUACUGACGCUCCGGUUCGAAGAUGUGACUAUGGAACAGAGGUUUGGGGCCGAAGGGGUAGAGGAAGACCUAGGAAAACUUUGGAAGAGACCCUAAGAAAAGACUUAGAGUACUUGGAUCUAACGGAGGACAUGACACAAAACCGAGCGCAAUGGCGUUCUAGGAUUCAUAUAGCCGACCCCACUUAGUGGGAAAAGGCUUUGUUGUUGUUGUUGUUGUAUUUACUCAUAAUUGACCAAAACCCCAACCCUAAUUAAACGCCCAAGAACUCCACAAUUGAAACCCUAAAGCUGCACAUCGAAAAAUAUUUCCAAAUACCCAUCUUUCACCAACGCAUAAUCAUAUCCCAAAGCCUCCAACUAUUGACACAAAGCCACUUCGCCAGCUGGUUGGAUUGUGGCUGCAAGGUUUGACGAAAGUGAGGGCAAGAUUAGAGAAGCGAGACGAUUGAUUCAAGAAGGGGUCGAGCAGUGCCCAAUAGCGAGGAUGUGUGGUUGGAGGCGUCUAGGCUUGCGACGAGCCGCGAGGAGAAGUGGCUUGCUGCGGCCGUGACUGCUACCCGUGAAACCCUCCAAGAAGCUUAUGCCGCCACUCCCAAUUCUAAAGAAAUUUUGCUUCAUGCUUCGAAGCUUGAAUUUGAGAAUAAAAAACCUGAGAGGGUUUGAAUGCUUCUUGUCAAGGCGCGACAAGAGGGAGAGGGGGAAAGAGUGUGGAUGAAUCAUCAAUUGUGUUGGGAGAGAAUUAGGGAACUUUGAUGAGGAAAGGAAGUUUGUGGACAAAAGGGUUGGAGCUCUUCUUCGUUCUUCAAGUUGUGGUUCAUGCAUGGAUAGCUUGUUAGAAUCUGUAACACAACUACACAAAUAAUGUCUAACAGGAUUUGAGAGAGAUAUUUAGAAAGGUUUAGAAAAUGAAUUCAAAGGAAGAACGAACACACUGAGCUUAACUCUUCAACUUCUAUCAUUGUAUUUUCAUACCGAGCAUAAUAGCCCGAAGAGACACAUAACUGAUUGAAAGAAUGAGAGAGAGAGAGACAUAACCUCAAUUCAAUCUCAACCAACCAUUACAAACUAUCUUAAGAUCAAGACACUUGUCAAAUGAUAAGCCCUAUGAGACUUAAUCAACACAUCACAAAUUUACACAAUAGCUCAGCCUAUGAGCUGAGACAUAACACACAUAACAAUCUUGUAAUGUUUUCUAAUCAGUUCAACUACUUACAUACUAACACUCCCUUUUAAGUUAUGAACUGAUUUCACUCCAAGGAGAUUUCUCAAGUAAGUGAACUGCUCCCUUGCCAAUACUUUUGUAAAGAUAUCAACUAUUUGCUCCUUAGUAGGACAGUGAAUCAAAUCAAUUACUCAUUGCUGCAAUGCUUCCUUUAUGAAGUGAUAUCUUCUGUUUAUAUGCUUGGUCUUCUGAUGAAAGAUAGGGUUCUUGGUGAUGGCUAUGGCUGAUGUAUUGUCACAAUUCAUUGGUGUUGCAACUGUUUUCAUUUCACCAAAAUCCUCUAGAACAAAUCUCAACCAAGUAGCCUGUGUUGUUGCUUCAGAAGCACUGAUAUACUCUACUUCGGCUGUGGAUAAUGCAACACAUUGUUGCUUGACUGAAGACCAAGAGAAAAUCCCAUUUCCAAAAGCAAAAGCAUAACCGGAUGUGCUUUUCAUAUCAUCCUCUAAGCCACUCCAGUCACUGUCACAGUAUCCCAUUAAGAGUGUUCCUUCACCUUUCUUGUAUUCCAAACCAAAAUCAAGAGUUCCUUGAACAUAUCUCAAUACUCUAUUUGCUGUUCCAUAGUGCUUGUUAGUGGGACAAUGCAUAAACCGAGAUAAAAGACAGGCAGCAUACAUUAUAUCAGGUUUAGUUGUUGUGAGAUACAGCAAACUACCUACAAUCUUUCUAUACUGAGCUUCAUCUGCAUUUCCACUUCCAUCUUCUUUUCUCAGUUUAUCACUUGGAACCAAAGGAGUACUCACAGAUUUGCAAUUCUAUAGUCCGAAUUUCUUUAGAAGAGAUGAAGCAUAAUUCCUCUGAUGAAUGAAGAUACACUCCUCAGUUUGGAUCACUCCCAUACCAAGAAAAUGAUGUAAAAGACCAAGAUCUGUCAUCUCGUACUUAUGCAUCAUCUUAGCUUUGAAAACAUCCAUUAACUCUUGACAAUUUCCAGUAUAGAUAAUAUCAUCAACAUAGAUGGAUACUAUGAUCAAAUCUGUGUCUCCCUUGUACUUGGUGUACAGAGUUGCUUCACUGAUGCUUUUCUUAAAUCCACAAAGCAUAAGGUAUGAAUCUAUUUCACCAUACCAGGCCCUAGGUGCCUGUUUUAGACCAUACAAAGCUUUAUGUAAUCUGUAAACCUUUUCUUCCUCUCCUUGCACCACAAACCCAUCUGGCUGUUCAACAUAUACUUCCUCUUCUAAUACUCCAUUCAGAAAAGCUGAUUUCACAUCUAGUUGAAAUAACUUCCAUUUAUUCUUUGCUGCCAGUGCAAUUAGAGUUCUAACCGUGUCUAAUCUUGCAACAGGUGCAAAAGUCUCAUUAAAAUCAAUUCCGGGCUUUUGUGCAUAGCCUUUUUCAACAAGCCUAGCCUUGUUCUUGUUAACAGUUCCAUCCAAAUUCAGCUUUGUUUUAUACACCCAUUUUACCCCAAUCACAGGCUUAUUUGAGGGUCUUCUUACCAACUCCCAUGUCUGAUUUUUCUCGAUCAUAUUCAUUUCAUCCUUCAUUGCCUUUUUCCAAGCUUCAUCCUGUGCAGCUUCAUCAAAGGAUUCAGGUUCAACAAUACAUAAGUGACAUCUCUCAUAGAUCUCGCUCAAGUUCCUAUACCUCAGUGGAGUAUUAUCAUACUGAGAUGAGACCAGUGAACUACUUGAUUCACCAAUAGCAGUAACUGGAGAACUUCCAGCUUGAAUUUGAGACCCAUCAGAUCCUUCUUGUUCAUGAGAUUAAGACAUCUCAUCAAUUUUAUCCAACUCUGAAGAUUCAACUGCAGAUAAAGGAAUACAAACUUCCUUGACUUUGUGUUUCUCCCAAUCCCAUCUACCAUUCUCAUAAAAAAUUACAUCCCUAGAUAACAAGACCUUUUGAGUUAAAGGAUUCAGUACUCUACCCCUUUUCGCAAGUACCAUAUCCAAUGAAAACACCCAUGACACUUGUUUCUUUUAAUUUGUGUCUUAGAUUCCCUGGAAUAAGAGAAUAACAAACUGAACCAAACACUUUCAAGUGCUUAACCCCAGGUUUUCUUCCACUAAAUUUCUCAAAAGGUGUAAUAUUCUUCACUGCCUUUGUAGGACUCCUGUUUAGCAAAUAAACAGAUGUGUUUACUGCUUCACACCAGAGAUUGUAUGGGAGUUCUUUCUCAAAAAUCAUGCAUUUUGCCAUCUCCACAAUUGUCCUGUUUUUCCUUUCUGCUACUCCAUUUUGCUGUGGAGAGUAUGCAAUUGUAAGCUGUCUUUCUAUCCCCAAACAUUCACAAAAUUUUCCAAACUCAUUUGCGUUGAACUCACAUCCUCUAUCUGUUCUUAGCUUCUUUACAUUGUAUCCACUUUGAAGCUCAACCAUGGCUUUAAAUUUCUUAAACACAUAGAAAGCCUCUGAUUUAUUUCUCAAGAAAUAUACCCAGCACAUUCUUGAAUAAUCAUCUAUGAAGGUAAUAAAGUAUCGAUUGCCACUCAAACUUGAUGUUUGCAUGGGACCACACACAUCCGAGUGUAUUAAUUCAAGUGGUUCCUUUGCUCUCCACACUGAUUCUUUGGGAAAUGGUUCCCUGUGAUUUUUCCCCAGUGCACAACUUUGACAUACAGUUUCACUGUCUUGGAUUUCAGGCAGCCCCAAAACCAUCUCUUGACUCUGUAAUAGUUUGAGACUUCUGAAAUUUAGGUGGCCAAACCUCUUGUGCCAAGUUCUAACACACUCCUGCACAUUUGUCCUCAAUGCAAGCUCCUUGUUUGUGUUGAGAAUUAAAGGAAAGUAUCUAUUUCCUUUCUGCUUCACACGGACCACCAGGUUUUGUAAGGAUCUAUCAUCGAACACAUCCACCUUACAAUCUCCAAAUAAAAGAAAGUAGCCGUGCUCAGUCAUUUGUCCCACACUUAACAAAUUUUCUGCAAGACCAGGUACAAGCAUAACUUCUUUUAUAUAUCUUCGACCCUUUAUUGUUUCAAUGAUCAGUGUUUCCUUCCCUUGAACUUCAACCAAAACUCCAGUGCCAACUUGGACUUUUGCUUUCACUUUCCUGUCAAUAUCAACAAGUAGAUCUUCUCUGGAUGUCAUAUGAUUACUACAUCCACUAUCUAUAUACCAUUCAUCACUUAUCUUCCUCACUUCUCCGGAAUGAUUUGCAUAAAACAGAUUUCCAGUUUCUUCAACCUGAUUAGCAAAGUUCACAUGUUGCACAGUCUUGUUCAUAUUACAAUACCUUGCAAUAUGCCCAAUUUUGUUGCACUUGUGACACUUGACUUUGUUUUUAACCCAACACUCUCCAUAGUGAAGUUUAUCACAGAAUUUACACUUAUCCCCAGUGUUGUUUGCCUCAUUCUUCACAGUGAAUCCACCCUUAUUACUCCAAUCACCCUUGUUGCUCCAUUGUUUCUCUUUUGGCUUAAAAUUCUUGUGAUAUUUGUUACUAUUUGACUGACCAUUGAACUUAUUAGACUUCGGGACAAACUUCAAACUAGUAAAUGCUUUCUCCAUACUACUCUCUCCAUGUCUAUCCAACCUUUGUUCAUACCCCCUUCAAGAUAGCUACAACAUCAUGUGCAUCUAUGGUGUCUAAAUCCUUAGUAUUCUUUAUCACAGCUGCAAUACUAUCAUAGGACUUAGGUAAACUGAUUAACAGUUUCUGAACAACUCUUUGAUUACUCAGAUCUUCACCAUAGCUCUUCAUUUGAUUAAUCAGAUCAAACAAUUUAGCAAUAUACACCGAAAGAGAUUCACUAUCAUUCAUGCGAGUAUAUUCAAAAUCUCGACUAAGACCUUGAAGUUUCACAGAUCUUACUUGUUUAUCACCAACAAACUCUUGUUUCAGAAUGUCCCACGCAGCCUUCGCACUUUCCUGAGUUGCAAUCCUCGGGAAAAUUUGAUCUGAAACUGCACCUUGAAUAAUACCCAGUGCUCUAGCAUCCUUAACUACAUUCUCACGCAGCAACUUCCUCUCCGCCUCUGUGAGUUCCUCCUCCUUCGCCGGAGCUCUGUACCCACUCUCAACCAUAUUCCACAGUUCAUAUGACGAAAGAUGGUCUUCAUUUUGAUUUGCCAGAAAUCAAAAUUCUCGCCAUUGAAAAUUGGAGCCCGAAGUUCUCCUCCUCCAGAUCCAGCCAUAUUAGACACUCGAAUCACUGCAAUAAGCUUUUGCUGUGAAUCCGAGUUCACCCACUUGUAGAAACAACGCCCAGAAGUUUAGAUCGAACUUGGCUCUGAGGCCAUGUUAGAAUUUGUAACACAACUACACAAAUAAUGUCUAACAGGAUUUGAGAGAGAUAUUUAGAAAGGUUUAGAAAAUGAAUUCAGAGGAAGAACGAACACACUGAGCUUAACUCUUCAACUUCUAUCAUUGUAUUUUCAUACCGAGCAUAAUAGCCCGAAGAGACACAUAACUGAUUGAAAGAAUGAGAGAGAGAGAGACAUAACCUCAAUUCAAUCUCAACCAACCAUUACAAACUAUCUUAAGAUCAAGACACUUGUCAAAUGAUAAGCCCUAUGAGACUUAAUCAACACAUCACAAAUUUACACAAUAGCUCAGCCUAUGAGCUGAGACAUAACACACAUAACAAUCUUGUAAUGUUUUCUAAUCAGUUCAACUACUUACAUACUAACAUAGCUAGGGGAACGACUUGAUAAUUUGGGAAACGCCAAGGAGGCUUGUAACUUGCAUCUCAAACAAUGCCCCAAGUCUAUACCGCUUUGGCUUUCUCUUGCUAGUCUUGAAGAGAGGACGAACGGGCUGAGUAAGGCAAAUGCAUGCAGUUCUUACCAUGUCCCGGAGGAAGAUCCCUAGAAUCCUCAACUGCGUCUUGUUGCCGUUGGCACUGAAUUGAGGCAUGGCAAUCACAAGGAAGCUGAUAUUUUGAUGGCAAAGGCUUAAUUUGCAGGAAUGCCCCAAUAGUGGUACCUUGUGGCUAUUGAGAUGGUACUGCGUACCCAAAGAAAACCAAGAGUAUGGAUGCUCUCAUGAGAUCUGAUCGUGAUACGGUUUGUUGUUGCUGCUGUGGUUAGUGGACAAAGCUAGGGAUUUAUACUAGUUUGACUGUAGCAGGGGAGAACCACAAGGAUGUGGUUAAAAGAUGUGUUGCGGCAAAUCCAAAGCAUGAUAUGAGAAAUGGCAACCUGCUUUGAAAGCCGUGGAAAACGCUCACCAACCGACUGAAGCUCUCUUGAAGAAACUGGUGGUUUCUCUAGACAAGGAUAUCAAUAGAGUGCAGCAAAAAAUGGUAAAACUAAUUCUUCAACUGGCUUCUCUUUUUUCAGAAUUCAGGUUAUGCCACAAAAGAUUAAUUUAUUUACCAAUGGCUUAUAUUGUUUCACUUGUUUUAUUUUCAACAAUUAUCUAGCACAUGUUGCUCCAUUAUGGCCUGGCUUUGCUCAGUUUCCUUCCUUUCAUUUCCUUCAUGAAAUAUAUCAUCAGUGAUUUCGAUAAUGAAACUACCAGUAUUUACUAUUCAUCAAUUCUUUUUAUUUUUGUUUAUAAUUAUUUGUUUAAUUUCAAAAAACUAAAAUGAACACAAUACUUUGUAAGUUUCUUUUUUAUUCUUGCGAAUUAGACAGAAAAGAAUAGGUUGACUAGAAAGGUUGGGGGAAUGAUGAUAAUUUUGAGGAAAUGGGAAGAAAGGUGUUUAUGAAGGGAAGGGUGAAGUGGAACUUAGCAAGUACGGAAAGAUUGAAGAUAUUGGUGGGUUUGAUGGUACGUCGAAAGUGUAGGGGAACUGAGAGACUAAUGGGGUUGGUGAGAAGGAGGAAAAGUCGAGGAGGAGUAUCUAAAGGGGUGGAAAGCAACUGCAUGUGAGGAUGGGAACUAGGGUACAGGCAGGAGAUGAACAAGUAGUAAUUAAUUCUGAUGACACUGGUAAUUAGGAGAAAGAAAGUAUUGGGAAGAAGUAAACAGUGGUCAUUAGUGCUAUAGCCAUAGUUUGUUCAUAUUGUAGCCAUACGCCAUUGUUCAAGCAUAAAGUUCUUCAAAAGCAGGAAGAGCCAAAGUAAACUAGCAAUCCAAAAGAUAAGAAAUUUGUUACUCUGUUUAUACAUUUUGUUAUCACUGUAUAUGUGACUUAUGUACUUGCUGACUGUGGUCUUUAACAGUUUGUUGAUGAGCUGUCCUUGAUGCCAUCAAUGCCAGAAGAGAAGAGUGACAAGGAGGUUCGCUGCAAAAUAUGUAACGGGAAAGGGAUUUUCUGUUCCUUCCAUAUGGAACUGUCAUGCAUUUAUCUGCUCACACUUAUUCAUUUCUGGUUGCUAACUUGUAGAAGAUGUUAGAUUUGUUUGACUAAACCCACAUCAAUUUAUCUGAGUUUAUCCCAGUAAAAUCCAGAAAAGUUGUGAUCUUAGAUUUGAUUUUGAAAAGACGGAGGGGGAUAAUGUGAUUUCCUUAAUGUUUUUAAUUAUACUAAAGGGCUUUGAACAUUGAACCUGUCCUGAUCCUAGUUCAUCGCCCCACCCUCUUUCACGGCCUCCCCAUUUGCACGAACCUCCCAAGGGUUUAGGUACCCUCUCUCCCGUCGAUAUAAUAUAUAUGUUUCUUUGGCUACUAGAUAUGUUAAGAAAUUGCUCUAAUGAAUAUAGUAAUAACUGAGGCAUGUGCCAACAUAAAAGAGUGUACGGAUCAUCAACCAUAUAUAUAUAUAUAUAUAUAUAUAUAUAUACAGGGAGCUUAAGGAGAGGGAUCCCUAUUUUUUCAAAAAAAAUGGGGACACGCUCCCCACCGUUAGAUUGACUUUAAUGAAAUUGUGUGGUUGAGAUUAAAACACAAGCCACAGAAUCUCAACCACAGGAUUUCAUUAAAGUCAAAUCCAACGGUGGGGAGCGUAUCCCCAUUUUUUUUUAAAAUGGGGAUCCCUCCCCUUAAGCAAUUCCAUAUAUAUAUAUAUAUAUAUAGGAUUUUUAGCCAAAAUGGUCCAUAAGAUUUGCAUAACACAUCAAUUUGGUCCCUGAGAUGGAAAAUCAAUACAAAUGGUCCUUGAGAUUGUCUACCAUCCAUUAUUUUGGUAUUUUCGUUAAAAACUCCGUUAAGUGUCCCGGAGCUCUUGUUAGGAAGUUUGGGCAAUUUUCAAAGUUUCGUAACUCAAUCGUUUCUUAACCAAAUUCGACCCAUAAUAUAUCAAAAUGAAGAUAGGAAAGUGUAGAACAAGAUUAGACCUAUUUGUAAGCCCAGUGGUUGCCGGAGAUGGCAGGAAAAUAGCCUGAAAGGUGGCUGAUUGGCUGGAAAACUUGAAAUUAGCAGGAAAUUGGGUAAACUUUAAACGUUCAUAACUUCUUCAAUACUCAACAAAAUCGAGUGAUUCAAAAAUGAAAAUCAUACUUCUCAACGAGACGAAGAGAAUGGUACCUUUCUAGACUCUAAUUGGCCGUGGUUUGGCCGAAAAAAGGCUCAAAAGUGGCUAACUUGAGACCAAAACAGCCACUUUCGAGUCAUUGUCUGGCCAAACCAUGACGAGUUAGCUGUCAAGAAAGGUACCAUUCUCUCCAUCUCAUCGGGAAGUAUGAUUUUUUUUUUGAAUCACUUAAUUUCGUUGAGUAUUGAAGAAGUUAUGAACAUUUAAAAUUUACCUAGUUUCCGGCAAGUUUUCCAGUUUUCCUGCGGACCAUUAGCCUAUCAGGCCAUCUCCAGCCACCAUUGGGCUUCCAAAUAGGUAUACUCUUGUUCUACACUUUCCUAUCUUCAUUUUGAUAUAUUAUGGGUCGAAUGUGGUUAAGCAACGAUUGAGUUACGAAGCUUUGAAAAUUGCCCAAACUUUCGGCCAAGAGCUCCGGGACUAUAACGAAAUGACCAAAAUAAUGGAUGGUGGACAAUCUCAGGGACCAUUUCUAUUGAUUUUCAAUCUCAAUGACCAAAGUGAUAUGUUAUGCAAAUCUCAGUGACCAUUUUGGCUAAAAAGCCUAUAUAUAUCUGGAAAAAAAAAAACCUUUAUACAUAUGGAGAUAUUAUAUAAAUACUCCAAAUCGAUUAUUGCCAGAGUAUUUAGAUCAUUGGUGUGUCCAAUUGACCAUCAGAUUGGGAUAGACUUCUAAAACGCGUAAAUCUAAAAAAAUAAAAGAAAAAAAUUAAAAAAGAAGGGCAAGUGUAAUGCAUAUACUGGAAGUCUGAGAAAGUAAAAAAAUAUAUUUCGUAGUUGACUGGCCGCCGGCGGUUUAUUUUCUGUUUAUUGGCAUGGUCUUUGAAAAUUAAUACAGCACUAAAAAAAAGUAGUUAAAAUUUGAAAAACACCUUUUCAGUCACAGACUGCAUGCCAUGCAGCACGAAAUUUUCAUGACAGGAAAAUUAUUUGCAAAUUAAGCACCAUUAAUUGGAGUUUAUUUAGCUGAAAGCAACGGUCAUCUUUCUUAAGUUUCACAGAAACAAUCUAACAAUCCCCCCACAACAACUACUCCAUUGUGGCUAGGGUUUUGGUCAUCAGAGAAGACUUUUUAUAUUCUCGUAUUAUGAAGAGAUAAAGUUUCCGCAAGUUGAUCAACUUUGACACCUCUGCAUGCAUAUAGUCAGUCAGUCAGACUCAUGGGAUUUGGCUUUCAGUUCACACAAUUUCCCAGUAAUUGAGUAUAUUUAAGGCGAUGUUAUAGCUGAUAUAUUCAUUUGUGUUUAUAUCUGCAGCCACGUAAGCAGAUGACAUUGGCGGUUUGGCAUAUAUUUCCCCCUAAUUGCGGGACACGUAUGUAAAAACAGAAGAGAACACUCUUUACACGAUAAGCCAACCUCAACACUAAGUUAGGGAUGAUGACUAAUUAACAACCACAUUAAGCUAAAGCUAAAGAAUUUCAUAUAUAUCACCUCAACCUUGACAUAGAGUCUUGAGAUAAGCCCAAAUACAAAGAACCGCGUGCAGAUUACUCAUAUUAAUUAGAUAUUAACCAUGUGUGAAACGAUUUUUUAUCAAGCAUAUUUUAACUACACUGAAUAAGAAUAAUUGUAUUUAGAGUAGCUAUAUGAACAUGUUGAAUAGUGAAAUAAGUAAAUAGUUGGUGAUGCACAUUAUGCACAUUAAUUAGAUACUAGCCACGUGUGAAGAAACUUUCUUACCAUACAUAUCUUGAUUACAAUGAACAAAAUUAAUAUAUUUUAAUUGCAGUGGCAAUGUAGAACAUGACAUACGUGAAUAUAUUAGUCGCGAUGGGUGAAAUAUGUCUUUUUAUUCCUUACAAAAUUGCUUAAUUGUUUUAAUUUUAUUGGUUUUACCUUCUUAUAUAAAUGGUUUACUCUUGACAUUUUAAUUAAUCAGAUGCAUUUUAAGUGUCUUUAUUUAUUUAUUAUUUUUGUAUUAGACGAUAGUAGCAGGGGAGGAUGAAAUUGAACUCAACACCUCGAAUGCAAUAAUCUUCUUAACCAAUUGAAUUUUUCCCCUUAAAUUUUAUGAUAUUACGAAAAUCUAAUCAUAAAUAUCCUAAUAUAUGUGAAUAGAUUUUAGUAUGCAAUACUCUAAAAAAGCAUAAGCAAGAUACAUGUGGAGUAUGAAAGGCACUUGCGAUUUAUACAUCAUAUAUUGAUUCACGCAUCGACAAUUAUUUAUUCGGUUUAUUCAUCCAAACAUGAACAUGCAUCUAUUUAUGUAACAUUUCCACUACUAAAGAUGUAUCAAAAUGCAAAGUUACCAAUUAAUUACCAAGCCCAGAUACUAGUUAUAAUUAUCGUAUAAAUUUUAGUCCUUUUUUAAAUUUAUAAUUGUCAUUAAUUAAUUUCUCAGACUCUUUUUCAUUGUUCUGGAUUUUCUCUGCUGACUCAGGCUCAUCGUGGAUGCUUCAUUUUUCUUACUAUAUAACCAAAAAUACAGAGAAAGCAAGAAAUUUGCCAGAAUCUUCUAGAAGUUGAAGGUUCUAGGAAAGACACGUAUGUGUGGCCGUCACUGCAGACUAGUUCUCUGCGUACUUCUUGCUAUAUGUAGUCAUGCUUACAUGGUCAGUUACGUCGUUCUAUUUAUAAUCCAUAUCCUGCUAGCUAUCUCCUUUUCACACCAAACCACUAAUUAACCCAUCACGAAACUUUUAAACCCAAUAUUUUUAUUUCCUCAAUUCCCCAUUACUCUACUCUCCUCUUUGUUUUUAGAAGAUUUCUUAUCCAACAAGGAACAACGACUUUAUUUUCACUAUUCUGAAUUGUCAACCACAUAUAUCAAAGUCAAAAAUUCAUCUCACUGAUCAACUUACAUACCAACUAGCAUACCCAACAAUAUUAUAAAUACCAAACCCCCUAAACCCAAAAAGUUCCAUUCCUUUAAUUUCAUUUUUGAUUAUCCAAUCAUCAUCAACAUUCCAAAAAGUUCAUGCCCUUUUGUUCAAUCAUCUCGUUUUACACAAUCUCUUGUGCAUGAACAUGAAGAGAAGCAUCACAGAUAUGAGAGAGCUUGAUCACGGCCUUACCAUGGCCAACUGUUUGAUGCUACUUUCCCGUGGCAUCAACUACAACGCUAAUCAAUAUGACUCCUUCUCUGUCUCCCCUAACCGGGUUUUCGAGUGCAAGACCUGCAAUCGCCAGUUCCCUUCGUUCCAAGCGCUUGGAGGUCACCGUGCCAGUCACAAGAAGCCCAGGUUAACCGGAUCAUCAGGAGAAGGAAACAGCAAUAGUUCUGAUCAGAGUCUGUCACAAGGUUCACCACCAAAACCUAAGACGCAUGAGUGCAACAUAUGUGGCCUAGAGUUUCCUAUAGGGCAGGCCUUGGGGGGUCACAUGAGGAGGCACAGGGCAGCCUUGAGCGGUAGCAAUACUACUAGCAAUGUUCAUGAGCGAUAUUCAAGUUCGAAUAGUCUAAAUCCUCAGCCUGCGCAAGUAUUUCAAGUUUUGAAGAAGACGAAUAGCGGUAGGAGAGCUAUGUGUUUGGAUCUGAACUUAACGCCAUUAGAGAAUGACUUGGAGACUCUUCAGCUAGGGAAAGCAGCUCCACUUGUUGGGUUUUUGUAAUUAUAUAUACAGAGAUGAUCAGUGCGUUAAUUCAUCGGCAUGAUUGUAAUUAAUCACGUAGGGUUCGCUGAUGAGGUUUUACCACGACUCUUCUCUUUUUGGUUACACCGAUAGGUCGAUCCAUCAGUAUUUGUUCAUUGUAGAAUUUAUAUUUCUAUAAGAUAUAUCCCUUUGUUUUGUUAUUGGUUUUUUAUUUAUUUGAGAAAUGAUUUCCAAACACUUUAUUUCUCCUCAUGCACACCACUCUUUAUUUUUGACUUCUGAUCGAAUAAAGCAAAGGAAAAAACAGAAGAUCAAAAUAGACAGGAGUACGCAUAUGAUCAUUUCCCUAUUAUUUAUGAAAUUUAUGAGUUUAUGGAUGAACAAGACAAAAGAAAAAAGGUAUUGAGUAGGACGAUCAUUAUCAGUUGAUCAAAGCAUGUUAAUUUCCUCACAUAAUUUGAUCGAUUACCAGAAUUACUUGGCCUGAUCUCUUGAACAUAUUGAUCAAUGUGUAAUUUCUGAUAUGAAAACUAUUUGUACCAUACUUGACAAAUCCUGAAACUACUGAACACCGGUCAACGUUAUACCGUCAAGGACUCAGAAGAGUUUCCCUCCAACCAGGAGGCCAAUCAUAGCGCGACAUGUGUCGACAUCAGAAGCCAAUCAUAGCGCAACACGUGUCAACAUCAGAAGCCAAUCACAACACGACACGUGUCAAUGUCAGAAUGAAACUAGAAACUCUCUUCUAUAAAUAGAGAUCAUUCUCUCACAAUAUUUCCUAAUGUCAUUUGUACUAAAUCAUUCACUAGUACUCACUAAAGGAGAGCUUGAACCUAUGUACUUGUGUAAACACUUCACAAUUAAUGAGAACUCCUCUACUCCGUGGACGUAGCCAAUCUGGGUAAACCACGUACAUCUUGUGUUUGCUUCCCUGUCCCUAUCUAUUUACAUACUUAUCCACACUAGUGAUCAGAGCAAUCUAGCGAAGGUCACAAACUUAACAUUUUCUGUUGUACCAAAGUCCUCACUGAUUUUGUGCAUCAACAUUUGGCGCCGUCUGUGGGAAAUGACACUUAUUCCCACUCUCUUCAGCUUUGUCAAGCUGGUUUCCACCAUUCGUACACUCUAUUUUGACCAGGCAUCCCUCUCCAACAUGGGGAGCGAAGGAAGCCACAACACAUAGAAUGGCACCCCUCUUGCACCUAGUGCGAAGCAACGAAAGAAAGAAGGAAAGAGGGUUGCUCUUCAAGCUAAAGUCAAUGAGCUAGAAGCUCAAAACAACAAGAUAGCAAUGAAGAAUGAGGUCCUCCAGGAGCAGUAUGAGAAACUCUUUGAGACGCUCCAUGAAACUAUGCGUACUCAAACAUGCGAGCUUGUUGCCCCUAUGGACAUCAACCAUCAUCUGGGUGCCCGCCAACAUGGAGGGUCACCUUCCUUUGACAUGGAUAUCCCUGAUGAGGAGCGAGCUAAUCAUCAAAACAUUGAUCAACAUGAGACUUCUCUCAACCCAGCUGCUUCGACCCAAAGCAGGAGAAGUGGAGGAAGACACCUCCUUGCAGAAGGGUUGGAACAAUCAAAAGCCAUUUAUCGUGACUGCCGAGACUUCCUAAAGCAACGUCGAGAGAAUCCUCUCCACAUAUGCUCGAAGAUCAAUGACCCAAGGGUUAAUGAAAGACUCAGUCCCCUCCUACGACCCAAGCCAGCUGCCAAUCUAGGGAAGGAACGACAUGUCCUAGAAGAACAUGAAGGUACAGGGGACUCUAAGGUAUUCCGACAGACUCGCCUUAGAAGUCAGUACGGCGAGUCCAAGGAAAAAUCACAUGCCCUUGCUCAAACUUUCCUACUUCCAAGAGGCGAUGGAGACUUACAAAAGAAAAUCCCAGUGGUACAUGACUUCACUCAAGAUCCCCUUGUCCUACAGCUCCUUAAGGAAGUAAACAAGUUGAAGGUCGAACGUCAAGCCGAGAUACCUGACUGGAACCAACCCAGGCCUGGCCCUCUCACAAGGAGGAUCCUCGACACCCCCAUUCAAGCGAAGACAAAACAAAAGCUUGGUUUACAACUCUAUACUGAAAGGGAGGACCCAAUUAAACACCUUAACCUCUUUGAGUCCACCAUGGCAUAUCGGAUGCACACCGACGAAAAGCGAUGUCUUCUCUUCCCCUCCACCCUCUCUGGCGGAGCUCUAAACUGGUAUUGCUGUUUUCCACCUGAAACAGUAGACUCAUUUGAGGAAUUGAGAAAACUGUUUGUCUUUCAACACAUCUUCCAGACCGAUCGCUUGCAUUCUGUAGAUGACUUGUACACUAUUCGCCAGAAGCCGGACGAGUCACUACGAGAGUAUGCUGGUCGUUUCAGCAAUGAGUAUUCUUGAUGCGCUGAGGCAGAUGACAAGACCGCCCUCAAGGCCUACGUGAUUGUUUCUUUAAGUAUAUGAUCAAUGCCAACACUUGGAAGACUUACUCUGAGGUGAUGGCACAGGCUUACAACCAUGCUUCCGCCGAGGCAAGGACAUAUCAAGGGAAACCCCCCACAACCACCCCUUAUCAGCAAGUAGGGAGUGGAAGCCAAAUCCAACCAAAUGAGAAGACCUCGACCUUCCAAACAGUAGCAGUGCCUCCCCCUACCUUACUUAAUACUUUGCCAAGUCAACAUACAUAUCAAUCUCAGGGCAAAAGGAAAGAUUUCCAUCCUCACCAGUCUCAUUUUAGUAAAAUGAGUAAGGGACACUACCACGAUAACCAAGGGUAUCGCCAUGAUAAUCCCCGACCCCAGGCAGUCAACACAGUGGGUCAAGCACGUGUUAAGACAGCCUCUACCCCGAGGUAUGAGGCAUACACACCUUUGAACGCCAGCAUAGCACACUUGAUACCGAAGCCAAAGCUAAGGCACCCAGAUUACAAGCCCACGAAGAACACGGGCACUUUUUGCUGCUACCACGAGCAUAACGGCCAUGACGGUGAGAAGUGUAUCACCCUUCGUGAUCAUAUUGAAGCUUUGGCACGUAAAGGAAAAAUUGAUCAAUUCCUUCUUCACCCUCCAAGGGGUAACUGUAACCAACGCCAGGUAAAUGUGAUAUAUUCCAUAAGUGGUGGCAUACCCAUAUUUAAAUCUUCCAACAGGGCCAUGAAAAAUAGUGAACGAGCUUUAAGGUCUGGCCACCAAGUGUUUCACGUGGAAGACAUCAGGGGAGGUAAGUAUCAAAAGCCUAACUGGGAUCCAAUAUGUUUCUACCCUGAGGAAGAAAGAGGUAUCAUCCACCCUCAUAAUGACCCACUGAUCAUGAAAGCUCACAUAGCCAACUUUGAAGUACAACAAAUCCUGGUAGACACGGAGGCUUCGGUCAAUAUCAUGUUUGCUGAAGCUUUCAGGGCAUUUAAUGUAGCUGAACACUUGCUCGAUUGCUCAAUUUCCCCUCUGAUAAACUUCUCCGGUGAUAUCGUGCAACCUUUGGGGAGCAUACACUUACCUUUCACCAUUGGUACAGACCCUUACACAGCUACCAUUACCACUAACUUCCUGGUGGUUGAUUGCCCAACGGCAUACAAUGUCAUCUUCGGACGCACAUGCAUCAAUGAUCUCAAGGCCAUGGUAUCCACACAUAUGUUGUUGAUGAAAUUUCCAACCCCCUACGGCAAUGGUUACAUCAGAGAAGAUCAACUUAGUGCACGAUCAUGUUACAACAUUUCGGUCAAGCAACAACACCUGCAUGUGCCCAAGAAAACUCUUUCUAUACAUGACCAAGUCAUAAAUACCAGCCCAGACGAAGCCAACUUGGAUCUUCACGGUGGCAAUAGUCAACCCGACGAUCCUCGAGAUGACUCUUUCACCCAGCAAGCACAACCCGGUGAAGAGUUGGAGAAAGUCUCUAUCUCAAAAUAUUAUCCGGAUCGCAUGGUAAAGAUUGGCACCACCUUGUCACCAUUCAUUCGGUUGGCAUUGAUCUCGUUUUUGCAAAAAGAACACUGAGGUCUUUGCCUGGUCAUACAAGGACAUGCCAAGCAUCUCUCCCGAUAUCAUCUGUCAUCGCUUAAGUAUUGACCCCAAGACCACGCCAGUGAGAUAGAAGCGAAUAUCUUAUAACGCUGAACGAUACAAGGCAAUGAAGACAGAAGUUGAAAAACUCAAAGGCAUAGGCUUCAUCCGCGAAGUCAAUUAUCCAACGUGAGUAGAAAAUGUUGUCCUUGUUAAGAAGAAUCCGACCAAUGAAAGUCUCCUACUCCAAAAUGUCUUGUGGAGAAUGUGUGUCGAUUACACCGACCUAAACAAAGGAUGCCCGAAAGAUAGCUUUCAUCUUCCUCUCAUAGACAGACUUAUAGACUCUACGGCAGGGUGUGAACUCCUGAGCUUCAUGGAUGCUUACUCAAGAUACAAUAAAUCCUCAUGAACCCUCCGGACCAAGAACACACAGCCUUCAUUACUGACAGGGGACUAUAUUGCUAUAAAGUCAUGCCCUUCGGCCUAAAGAAUGUAUGAGCGACUUAUCAGAGACUGGUCAAUUCAAUGUUCGCCGAACAAAUUGGGAAAAGCAUGGAAGUUUACAUUAAUGAUAUGCUAGUCAAGAGCAAACAUGCUGACCAACACAUCACCAACCUAUCUGAAACUUUCACCAUUCUGAAGAGGUAUCGAAUGAGGUUGAACCCCAACAAAUGUGCCUUCGGCAUAGGCUCUGGCAAUUUCUUAGGCUUCGUGAUAAGCCAACGAGGCAUUGAGGCUAAUCCUGAGAAGAUCAAAGCAAUUCUCGACAUGAAGGAACCGGUAACUUCAAAAGACAUCCAGAGCCUUACUGGCAAAGUGGCAACCUUAACUAGGUUUAUCUCUAAGGCCACCGACAAAUGUGCUCCUUUCUUCAAAUCACUUAAGGGAAGUAAGAAGUACAUUACAUGGACUGAUGAAUGUGUUGAGGCAUUCAAGAACCUCAAAGACUACAUGCGUAAAACCCAUUUGCUCUCCAAACCUGAGGUUGGUGACACUCUCAUUAUCUAUCUAUCGGUAUCGGCUUCAGCAGUAAGUUCCGUUCUCAUUCGAAAUGAUGGUAAUGUUAAACGGCCUGUCUACUACGCUAGCAAGGUCUUACAAGAUGCGGAGACACAAUACUCCAACAUUGAGAAAUUGGCUCUAGCAUUGGUCAUGUCCGCUCGAAAACUUCGCCCUUACUUCCAAGCACACUCCAUCAUCGUGCUUACCAAUCAUUAUCUUCGACAGAUACUCCAAAGUCCUGACACUUCCGGGCGAAUGAUCAAAUGGGCGAUAGCAUUAGGUAAGUUUGACAUCUCCUACCAAUCAAAGCCAGCUGAGAAGGGCCAAGCAAUGGCAGACUUCAUCGCCGACUUCACAUAUCUUGUUGACAUUGUUUAUAUGCCUAAAGAAGUGGUUUCAUUACCCUCGGAAGCUCAGAAAAUAUAACCAACAGCCCCAGCAUGGAGUCUAUGUUGAUGGCUCGUCCAACCAACAGGGUUGUGAAGCAGGACUAGUCCUUACGACCCUUGACAAAGUGGCGAUGGAGUAUGCUCUUCGUUUCAAAUUCAAGGCAUCGAACAAUGAGGCCGAAUAUGAAGCCCUCCUAGCAGGCUUAUGUUUGGCCAAACACUUGGGGUUAAACGAAUUGAUAUCUUCAGUGACUCCCAAUUGGUGGUUAACCAGGUCACCAAUAACUUUGACGCUAAGGAUAGCUCAAUGGCAGCAUAUUUGGCACAAACAUAAUUGUUGCUCAAGCACUUCCACUACUAGAUCACCCAAAUUCCUCGAGCGGCAAACAGUCAUGCAGAUGCUUUGGCUUGCCUCGCUUCAGCGGUGGAAGACAAGAUUGGGAGAAAAAUUCAGGUCGAAUUGUUGGCAGCACCAAGCACCAUGGCUGAGGAAGUGUGCAACUUACAACAAAGAGAUAGUUGGAUUACCCCGAUUUAUAGAUUCCUUGCUCAUGGCACCCUUCCAAAUGACAAAGUCCAAGCUAAGCAGAUUCGAUACAAGGCUACCCGUUACUUGAUCAUUAAUGACCAACUCUACAAGCGGGGUUUUAACCUACCAUACCUAAGAUGCCUUACGCCCGCAGAGGCAGAAACUGUCCUUCGAGAAAUACAUGAAGAAGUCUGCGGAGAUCAUGCUGGAUCUCGAUCCCUAACACACAAGGCUUUUCGCCAAGGAUAUUACUGGCCAACACUCCACCAAGAUGUCAUCAGAAUAUCCUGAUUAUGUGAUAAGUGUCAACGCUACGCAACUAUUCCUCACUCUACUCCCGAGCCGCUCACUCCUAUGAUCAGCCCUUGGCCCCUCGCUCAAUGGGGACUUGAUUUGAUCGGCCCAAUGCCUACAGGGAAGGGCAAGGUUCGCUAUGUAAUCGUUGCAGUUAACUACUUCACAAAGUGGGCCGAAGUAGAACCCUUGGCAACCAUUACUGAGGAAAAAAUAGAAGACUUCGUAUGGAAGAACAUCUUUUGCAGAUUCGGCAUUCCCAAUGCGAUAGUCACUGACAACGGGCGAUAGUUCGACAACAAUAAGUUCAAGAUGUUCUGCUCUAUGUUCAACAUCAACUUAUGUUUUGCCUCCCCAGCUCAUCUCCAGUCUAAUGGACAAGUUGAAGCCAUCAACAAAAUAAUCAAGCGAACUUUGAAAACUAGCUUGGACAAGGCUAAAGGUUGUUGGCCAGAAUUUGUACCCCUAGUUCUUUGGUCAUACCGCACUUCGUAUCGGACAUCAACAAGAAAAACCCCAUUCUCACCUGUCUUUGGUACAGAUGCAGUUGUCCUAGUUGAGUUUGAGCAAGCAACGUUCCGAGUCCAGAACUACGUGCAAAGCGAAAAUGACAAACAACUUACCCUCAACUUAGAUCUAGUCGAGGAACAUAGAAACCAGGCUCACUUGAGGAAUGUCGCCUACAAGCAGCGCAUCUCCAACUACUGUGACUCAAGGGUCAAACCUCGUUCUUUCAAAGUGGGGGACUGGGUAUUGAAGAAAAGAUUACUCUGCGACAGAGUCCCAAGUGAAUGAACACUUAGUCCAAACUAGGAUGGACCGUUUGAAGUUGUUAGCAUCAGUCGCUCUGGCUCCUACAAGCUUAAAAGCUCCGAUGGCAAGACUCUUAGCCAUCCAUGGAACGCUAAUCACUUGAAGUACUAUUACAAGUAAACUCACAUUGUACAAGUGUUAAGCUUCAGCCAUUCAGCAUCCUAUGUAACGAAGACUGUUUGGCAUGAAUUCAAUAAAGAGGUGAUUUAGACAACUUGAUCCUAAUCCUCUUACAUUCCUAGCAAUGAAACACUCGGGUUCAAAGCUUCAACAUGAAUGCUUCUAAAAACAAAGUAUAAGUGUAUGUCAACAAGACUAUACAAAUAAAUGAACAGCUUCACAGUAUAUUCGUUCAAUCAUACAUUCUAACACAUUCAUACAUAAGCCAACUGUGCUUUGAAAGGGUUCAACAUAUUUUGUCUCAUUCGACACUUGCUACAAUGUGCCUAGACACCUUGCCCUUAUUCUCACCAACCAAGUGACGAAAUGUGAAGAAUGAACUAAUCUUCAUGCCACCAACCAGGUGAUGAAAUGUACAACCCGUACUCUCCUUCAUACCACCAACCAGGUGAUGAAAUGUACAACUCGUACUCUAAUAUCAUUUGGCAACUUGCCACUCAUGCCACCAACCAGGUGAAGAAAGAACUCAUCUUCAUACCACCAACCAGGUGAUGAAAUGUACAACUUGUACUUUCCUUCAUGCCACCAACCAGGUGAUGAAAUGUACAACCCGUACUCUAACAUCAUUUGGCAACUUGUCAUUCAUGCUACCAACCAGGGGAAGAAGGAACUCACCUUCGUACCACCAGCCAAGUGAUGAAAGCAACUCACCAUUCAUUCCACUUACCAGAAGACGAGUGGUACAACUUGUACAUGUGAACUCCUAGCAAUCAUAAAUAAUAAAAAAACCCUCAAGCUUGACAACUCAACUAGAGGAACACUUAUGCCAAACAAGAUUUAUAGUCACCAACAAAGUCUUAUUGCAAGCCAAUAGCAACUUCAGUGCAUGGCAUACGAAGAUCAAGCUAUUCAACUCUCUUGCAUCUGCUUCAAACAUUUCCCCUCUGUAACAAUGCAAACACUACAACUCGUAGAAAGCUUCACACACUCUUGAUCAAGACAGUGUGAAGCAAAUCCAAUUUAUGGUGCUAACAAGAGCUUCAUCAAUAGAUGGCAACCACAAUUCUCAAAAGCUUCACACUCUUAAUCAAGACAGUGUGAAGCAAAACCAUAUUAUGGUGCCAACAAGAACUUCAUCAAUGGAGAGCAACCACAAUUCUCAAAAGCUUCACACACUCUUGAUCAAGACAGUGUGAAGCAAAACCAAUUUAUGGUGCCAACAAGAGCUUCAUCAAAGGAAUUCAACCACAAUUCUCAAAAGUUUCACACACUCUUGAUCAAGACAAUGUGAAGCAAAACCAAUUUAUGGUGCCAACAAAAGCUUCAUCAAUGGAGGACAACUACAAAUUCUCAAAAGCUUCACACUAUCUUGAUCAAGAUAGUGUGAAGCAAAAUCAAUUCAUGGUACCCAAAAAAAAGCUUCAACUCCAAAGUUUCACCUACAAAGCUUCAACUCAAAGCUUCACCUACAAAAGCUUCAACACAAAAGCUUCAACACAAAAGCUUCACCCACAAAAGCUUGACUCACAAAAGCUUCACCUACAAAAGCUUGACCCACAAAAGCUUGACCUACAAAAGCUUCACCCACAAAAGCUUGACCCAUAAAAGCUUGACCCAUAAAAGCUUCACCUACAAAAGCUUCACACUAUCUUGAUCAAGAUAGUGUGAAGCAAAAUCAAUUCAUGGUACCCAACAAAGCUUGACCUACAAAAGCUUCACCCACAAAAGCUUCACCCACAAAAACUUGACCCACAAAAGCUUCACCAACAAAACCUUCACCUACAAAAGCUUGACCACAAAAGCUUGACCCACAAAAGCUUGACCCAUAAAAGCUUUACCCACAAAAGCUUCACCUACAAAAGCUUAACCCANGCAUCGAAUUUUGAUUGAUUUUAGAAGCAAGCAUUUGUAUAUCAUCUGUUCAAUUCAAAACUAGCAGAAAUUUGGGAAAUAGUAUAUGAAUCAGAAAAUUUGAAGAUGUCAGGACAGACAAUGGUGUAAAUUUGCAUAGCUGAAGUUUUGAGAAAACUCGAGAUACUAUGGGAUCCUUGAAAUAAUGAAUGUCGAAAAAAGUGGUGCAUUUGUAAAUAUUAUCAGUAAAAGAUGUUAGUUUUCCGUUCUCAGUCGACCUUCAAUGUUUUGUGGAAUGGUGGUGGUUUGUCAAUUUGCACAAGGUUGUAGAAAAAUGGAUCCGAUUGUUUCAUUUUGAUACUUGCUAUUACCUAUUUUUUCAAUAGAGCGAUAGCAUUCAGUGUAUUAAAUAGUUAGUUGUUUAGGGAAAGGUAAUCAGCGGGAAUCGAACCAGAGCUAGAAUGCAUAUACAUGAAUGCUUUUCACUACUGCGGUAAAGUACCAUUUGCCAUACUUGAUAUUACUUGUUUAUUGUUAUUUCCAUUUUUUUUCUAUGCCUCUGCAAUGCCAAUUAUAUUUUGCCACCCAUUUAAAGAUAUGCUUCUAAAAUACGCAGAAUUAGAAAUGUUAGCGUAUCUACGGAGGUUUAUGUAGGGAGGAUAACAAACUUAGGUACGAGUGUCUCGCCAUGUAUCCACAUGAAUCUCUUACUAAGGCAUGACUCCUUUUAUAUUCAUAUUUUGGUCUCGUCCGAUUUUGUCCAAUUCCACUUGAAGCAGUCCUACUAGACAUUACUUAAAUCAAACAACCCUACCGAUAUUUUAUUUUGAGAAGAUGUCAAUAGCUACAUUGUAAAAAUAUGAAGUACUUGGUGCAGAACCGUACACAAUGUUGUUAUAGAAUUUCUAUAAUCGACCUCACUUAAUGAGAUAAGAUUUGGUGUGUUUUGUUGUCGUCUAUAGCUGCAUCGUGCAUGUUAGCUUUUACAGUCAAUCAAGUGAGAGGAUAAAAUUAGACCUGGCAGUUUUCUGACACGACACGAAAAUGACACGAAAAUAACGGGUUUCGGGUUAACACGAUAACUUAUUGGGUCAUUAUCGGGUGACCCGUUUAGAUAAUUUUAAAGUUUAAUUACAAAAAGAAUUAUUAUAAAAUACAAUAGCCAUAUUAAUAUAUACAAUAUAUCUAUAUAUAUAUAAAGCGAGCACCCUCAAAUGGUGAAACAUUCAAAAUACCAUAAAUUGUCCUUUAAGAAUUUCAUAAAUUACAAUUGAACCAAAAUAACCUAAAGUAUUUAACCAUAUUUUUACUUUGAAUGAAUUUAAUAUUUAAAAUUAUAGGAAAAAAAAAAACAAAAAACAAAACCAAAACCUCACACGUUAGUGGGUGAUUUCACGUCAUUAAUUCAUUUCUUUUUUAAUUUUUUUAAAUAUGUAAAUUAAUUAUUUAAAUAAAAAAAAUAUAAAAAAGGUCAAUUGCCAUAUGGCAAGAGGCUAGUUCUAUAUUAAAUAUAUAGUUUUGUAUUAUUAUUCUAUAUAAGUUUUAAAAAAAAGUUUUUGUCAUUAUUUAUUUUUAUUAUGAGAGUUCCUUAUUUUCAUUACUAGGAUAAAUUUUACUUAACAUGUUGUUGUCCAAAAUUAAAAUAAACUAAUAUAGUAUUUGUAUAGGCAAGAACUAAGAAACAUAUAUACACAUAUGAAAAAUGUGAAAGAAUAUAUAAACACUCGUGAUUCAUCAUUAUUCUCCACGAGUAGAUAAUGGUUACACUUGUAUUAUUGUUUAGAUUGUUAAAUCCUCCAAUCCUUCGUGAAUAAUGUUUUUUAUUUGAGGGAAAAAUUAAUAUAAUUAUUGUAGAAGUGUAAAAAAUGUAAAAAAAAUAUACAAUCACUCAUAGUGACAAACUUUAACAGCUUCAUGAAGGGGUCAGCUUCGAAAUCCAACACUAUAAUUCCAUAAACCUUAAAUUUAUAUUUAAACCGUCGAUUUUCAUUUACGCUUUUAUCUUCUUACUGAAUUUCAUUUUUUUGAAUUUUCUUUUUUUUAAAACAUGAUCAUCUGGCGGAUGUAAGAAAGAUGAACGGUUCAGAUCUUUGAUAUAACAUUUCGAUAUUUAUGGUUAACUGAAAUAUGAGUCGAUGUCAUAUAGUUUGUAGAAACUUUAAUAACAUCAAACAAUAUUUUCACUAACCGUAAACUUUGAAUAUAAUAUCAACGAUCCAAAUCGUUCAUUUUCCUGCAUUCUCUAAUAGAUCAAGUUUUCAAAAAAGAAAAUCUAAAAAAAACAAAUUUGAUGAGAACAAUGAAGCGUAAAUGUAUACACAAUCAACGGUUAAAUUUUGAUCUAUGAUUUUAUGAUUAUAGUGGUGAAUUUCGAAGUUAAGCUUCUUCAUGAAAGUUGUAAAGUUUGUCAUUACGAGAGUUUAUAUAUAUUUUUUUCUAUAUUUUUUUUUACACUUCCACAGUAAUAAAAAACUAUUAAAGACUUUAAGUAAGUGAAAAUAUACUUAAAAGAAAAAUGCGUUUUUAUGUUUUGGAUGUGACAAUACAGUAUGUAUUAUACUUAUUUAGUAUUAUGUUUUUCAUUUGAUUUAUUUAUUGGUUUAAAAUAUUUUUCCUUAACAGGUCAUAUUACCUAUUAAUAUUAUCGGGUCGAUUUCGGGUUGGGUCAUUUUAACCCGUUUUUUUAACGGGUGUUACAUGACAUGACCCGUUAAAAUAUCGGAUAUGACACGAAAACGAUACGAACACGAAAAACACUACACGGUCUAGAUAAAAUGUAAGUAGUAAUUGCCUUCAAACUGCGUACGGCAAGGGAGACAUGCUUUUAAACUUCUGUGCUGCAGCUGCUGCUUGAUAUCUAAUCCAUAGAUAUUAUAUAUAGGGAAAUUGCAAAAAACUGCAUUGAAACUUUCCAGAUUUUCACGAGAUUCACCUGACAGGGAUCCUCCAUCAUCAAAUAGCAAAGCUGCGUACAUGAUAAUACUUGUCUGGGUUUCACAUGUUUCAGAGGCUAAAUUAAAGUGCUAAAAGGUGCAAGAUAUAUGGUGAAAAAUUGAAUUAGGGUUCAUGUGUAGUAGUAGUGCACUAACAUUGACACAUGAUCUCCAAUGGUCACCAAAUACAAACUUUACUACUAAUUUACUAGUUUUGUGUCCCCCAUUUGUGAGGCCUGUACCUAAUUGCUUUGACCCCUUUAGGGCAUAAUAUGAACGGUUGUUAGUAGCUAGAGUUGGCUUCUGUUUUGUCCUCAAAUGGGCAUGCAUGAUGAGUAGCUAGCUAACUACCAAAUGAGAGGGUGUGUGCACUUAAGAGGUGGAGGACCCUCAAUUUGCCUCACUUACUAUCGGAUGUCCUAUUUUUUUCACUAGUGAAUGAAAAUAGACGAUGAAAAGUAUAGUAGCUUAAAUUGACGUUGUUUUGCUUAAAAUGCAAGAUUAGAGCAAAAUCAUCGAAAUGAUUAUGAACUAUGGUCAAAUGAUCGAGAUCAAACGCAAAACUUAGGUUACAUACUAUUAUAGAGGCAUGAUCACUGUGGUCUAUUAGAUCUUAGUAGUUCUCUUCUCAAUGUUAAACAAGGUUCUAAGUUUAAUUCCUCAUUUUCCGAUACUAAAAGGAAUGAUUCUUUUGUGCAGCCAGAGUUAAGCAAGGAAAACAACUCCAAACACAUGGCUUGGGUUGUGAAUAAUCGGCUGAUGGGUUCAUGGAUCGAUCCAAAAAACAAAGGGCUUUAACAAAAUUUUUGAGGAUUGAUAUAUGUGGGACUUGAUGAUGAUAGUAGGGGCCGGGCAGAAACACCGAGAUCGAGUCGGUUAUAUGGGUGUGCAAAUAUGAUUUAAAUGUCAUUAUAGUUAUAGAUUUCAUGUUAACCGUGUCAUUAUUUAACGAAGAUUCAAACAAUUCAUUAUACAAUAUGCGUAAUUGAUACGAGGAUCACAUAUUGUUCAGAAAAUUAGGAGUUUAUAUUUGGUCCGAUCAAAGUUAGUAGUUCGAUGGGUACUACUCAUUGAAAGUCCUUUUAUUUAGCCAGCCCCUCUGCAGGUGUCCCCAAACUGCCAACAUUACAUGCUAAUCUGAGAUAUCAAUCACAUGUUUUGAUUUGUUUGUAAAUCACAUCAGAGUAUGAUUACACAUAUUAAUCUAGCAAAUCCUUGUAAAGGUCCCAGUCCUGCCCAACAAAAGCUCGUACACUUAAUAGUUGCAUGUAUUAAACGACAAUGCAAGAAAUUAACUCUUAUAUAGUCUUUGGAGUAAGAGAAUAUUUACCUCAUUUUGGGCGUUUCUGUCAUUAACUCAUUUCAAUAAUUGUCUGCCCCGGCUAGAACACUGUAUCAAAGGCAACAGCCACGGAGCAAUUAUAGCUGUUGUUGGCGUAGCUAUGUUAGAAUAUGAGCAUAAGUGUAGGUGCAUUUAGGGAUGUUUGAGUUCAAAUUGGGUUUAAAAGCUUAUGAAAAAGGGAUUACUUGUCCAAAUUUACAUGGAAUUGGACUUUAGUAUGUAAAUUGGUUUUUACCACUUAUAUUUUGGUCAUAUAUGGAUUUAAUAAGGAAAAUCAUUUGGAUUAAUCGUCUAUAUAAAUGUGGACACUACUCUAACAGAAUAACGCUCAUUAUUGGACUAAGAGACCUAUUGUAAGUUCGAGUAUAUUGAUUUCCACAAGAGAGGAGAAGCUUACUAUGAAUCGAGUAAUGACAUUAUCUUCUUCGGUUUUUAAGGUCAGAUUAAUUCUUACAAGUUGUUGUUAAAUGCAUGACAAAUAGUCCAAUGUAUGAAACUUUUUUACUUCUUGUCUAACUUUGUCACUCAUUAAAAAUAACUACAUCAGCAAUAACGCACUUGCUCGUCACUUGAUAUGCCAUUUCUGUAGUGCGAAAAAAUCACAUGAAUCCUAAGGCAGAUAACUAUAGAUUCGCGAGAUCAACUUCUCUUAAUGUGUUUGACGAAUUAAGGGAUGCAGAGAGUGAGAGAUCACAUGAAAGAGCAGAAAAUCUGCAAGAGUUGUGUUAUGGAUGAUAGGUCAGGGAAAGUAGCCGUGAGGACCCACAAAUUUCAACAUUACAAGCUUCAACAAAAGGAAAAAUUCAAAGAACUUAGUGAAGAAGGUCUUGGUGUAUUUAACACAAUACGUUGAAAUGAAGCAAAGCUUGUUUAUUGAUAUCUCCGAUAAGUUACAAAUAUGUACAUAUACAUGAAUCAAAAUAAACAAACAAGAGGGAGCCUUCACAAAGGUUGCUCAGGAGAAGUCUCAGCAGUCGGCAGAGCCCCAGAUCGAUGAGGCACCAGAGGGUGAUUAUUCGGAGCCUCAGUACUAGGCAGAACCCCAGAAGGAGGAGGCACCAAAUGUGAUCAUUUGGAGCUUCAUUAUGCGGUACAGCCCCAGAAGACGAAUGCAAUAAAUGCCUUUGGAACAAACCCACAAACCUCUGAUGAUCCAUUAAAAUCUGAUCAUCAGAUUCCUGCAGCUGGUCAAGCUUCCUCUUUAUGUUUGUAGCAUAGUCAUGUACGAGUCUGUGCAACUGUUUAUUCUCAUGCUUGAGCCCUCUGAUCUCCUGUUUGAGACUUAUCACUUCAGCUCUAAUUAUUCAACUUGGUGGGUUCGAGCAAAUAGGUGUUGGGCCAUAUUAGACACAGAACCUGCACUGAACACUGAGAGCCAGAGAAUCCUUAACAGCCAACUCAUCAGACCGUUUGGAAAGUAGUCUGUUAUCUUUGGGAGUAAAAAUGUUCCUGGCCACCAUCUCAGCAGUCAUAUCAUUCUUCAUCACAAAGUCCCCAACGGUAAGGUGACCAGUAGGGGAUAAGAAUGAUGGGCGCCAUAUGUUGUCUUCAGAAGGCAUGGCUGCAUCUUCACCAAAGUUCAAGUCAAAACGACAGUCGGAUGGACCAGACAUUCUCAGAAAUGAUGAAGGAGAAAUGAGGUGCAAUAAAUCUCUGAAGUAAGGGGAAAAUUCCUACAAGCAAUAACUCUCUGAAUGUACUCCUUGCACACAAUUGGUGCCCUUAUAAAAGAAAGGACAACAGGGCCGUUGAUUCAAAAAUCGAAGUGGCACCACUCUCUGGAUUCCGAAGAGGCAUCACUCUCCGGAUUCCGAAGAGGCACCACUUUCCACACGCAACAUCAGCUCCUCGGGUACCACAGAUAACUUUUCCAAAGAUCUCUAACAAAGUUUAGACACAUAAAUUUUGAAGGUCCAGCUACC
rnacentral:lncRNA from 1 species